UUAACAAGUUUACGUGUGGUGUGCGUGAGUGUAGAACCUUUUUAUGUGGGAAUAAGACUUUCCGAAAUGUGUUUGUUGUGUUAAUGGAAACAUAAACCAUAAUUAUUAUAGUUUAUCAAAAACGUUUAAAUGUAAUAGUUAAAACUUUGUUUACUAUGUUUAACUACUGUAUUUGUGAAGGUAAAAACCUUUUUGUUUACCGAUAUGUAUAUAUACCUUUUUCUAAAGUGAAGCAACAUGCAUUAGAACAACUAAUUAAUUACCACACUUUUGUUGGUAAAAAUCCAUUGGUAGUCUGAUGUAUGACUAUAUACUAAGACAAAAUGCCAUCUAUUUGUAAGAACAUAUUUUCACAUAAAGAUAUACACCUUGCUCAACAUGUUACAAGGUGAAAUGAAAUUGAUGGCAUUUUUCUGUUGUUAGCAUUUUCAUUUACUGUUCUUAGAAAAUUUAUAGAAAAAUCAUCAAAGGUCCAAAUCAAAAUUUGUAAAUUCUGAGAGUUUUGGAAAUGAGUAUAGUUUGUUCAUAAUUUUUAUUAUGAAUUUUAUGACCUCCAAGUUGUGUGAAAAAGUCCAUAAUCACAGACUGGUUCGGAUUGAUGUUUGAAAUGAUAGGCAGUUUUGUAAAAAUACCAUACAUCGUAGAAAAAUCGUGUGGAGAUGUGCAAGUAGCCAUUUUAAAGCUAAGAACUGGAACUACUGGCACCUAAAAUGGUUUUGAAAAAUAAAAUGUUUAAGUUGCCCAAAACAGUCCGUGAAUGGGGUUGAACGUUUCUGAUGAAGGCUGUUAAAUAAGUUUAGUUGUGUUCUUGGUGUUUUAACUUGUAUCCCCCCCCCCUUAAAACUUAAGAAAAACAUGAAAAUAUAGGGGUAUGAACUCACCUUAUGUGAUUUCAGUAGAUGAAUUUUGGAGAAGAGAAGUCUUCAACUCAAGAACACUUGAAGAUGCCUUGAAGAUUUUCGAGAAUCUAACACCAAAGUGCUGGAGUUCGUGUAAGAAAUCAAUGAUUUGAGUAGAAUGAAGUGUAAUAAUCAAAAAUAGAAAGAAUUAUACUUACCAAGAGUAUAAUGAAGCUUGAUGAUCAGCCUUGGAGUCUCAAAAUAGAGAGGAAAAGUUUGAGAGAAAAGUGUUUGAUCUUUUGGUGGAAAAUGAGAAAAUGAAUGAAGUGUGAGGAGAGAGGAUGGAUAUUCCAUCUCUAAGAAUGUGGGAAAUGGCUGAUGAUUGAUGGAAAGGUACAAGGAAGUGACUAGGGUUGGUGUGGAGGAGUGUGGGUUAGUCAUGGAGUGGGUAUGGUGGUUGCUUAUGUCAUAAAUUAAAGAAAAGUCAAAACUCCACCUAUUAUACUUCACCCACCCUUCUUGGAUAAGGUUUAUCCCCAAAAACAUGAUUAAUUAAUAAAUAUGGGGCAUUAUAUGUUAAAAUAAAGUUUUGGGUGAAAAUCCCGCGUUAAAACAAUUAAAAACGGGCCUAAAACGCAAAACUAGUCGAAAACCGGGGGAAAAGAGCUUCCUGCGAGACCUCUCGGUCCUAGGCUGAGGUUUGGUCCCUUCUGCUGCUGGGCCGAAGGCGAAAUGGAGUGAAAGGGAGGGUAGGAGGCGAAAUGGACCUAAUGUAGCUUCAGUUCCUUGUGCGAGGUUCAGUUCAUCAUGUGAGGCUUGGUCCGAAAGGGAAGGUUCAGGUUCGGUCUGCUGAGCUUCGGUCCGAGGGGGGGUUCACUUCUGAUGCCUUCGCUUCUGACACCUUCGCUUCUGACAAGUUCGGUUCCUAAGAAGGGUUUUGGGUCCUUAAGAGGGUUCGGCUCCUUAAGAGGGGUUUCGGGUCCUUAAGUCCUUUUUAUCCGUUUUUGCCCCGUUUUAAGCGGUUUUUGACCUGGUUAAGGGUCGGGAUGACCCGAAAGACUACAAAAAGUUUAAGGAACUUUUGAGAGAGAUUUAGGAGAGAUUUCACAUUCUUGGAGAGAUUUCUCAUACAAAGAGAGAUUUGGGAGAGAUUUGACAUACAGAGAGAGAUUGGGGAGAGAUUUCACAUUCUUGGAGAGAUUUAUCAUACAAAAAUAGAUUUGGGAGAGAUUUGAAACAUGUGGAGAGAUUUCUCAUACGGAGAGAGAUUUGGGAGAGAUUCCACAUUCUUGGAGAGAUUUGGGAGAGAUUUGACAUACUUGGAGAGAUUUCUCAUACGGAGAGUGAUUUGGGAGAGAGUUGACAUACUUGGAGAGAUUUCUCAUACGGAGAGAGGUUUGGGAGAGACUCCACAUUCUUGCAGAGAUUUGGGAGAGAUUUUAGAUAAAGAGAGAUAGAGUGAAAACGAUUGAGAGAGGUUUCGUGUAUGACAUUUGUGAGUGUUUGGCUCCGCAACGGAAGGUCCGUAAACCCUGUUAAGCCAUGUUCAAGGACCUUAUGCACUCCCGAUGAGUAUGCAACUUUUUUUCUCAUUAGCAUAGCGAUUUGUAUAGCAAUUACCUAAUGUAAGCCCUAGUACACAAAGGUUAAUUGAAUCGAGCGGUUUGACCUGUUGACUUUAGUUGACUUUGACUUGACUAGAAUUUGACGGUUGUCACAUCAUCCCCCUGUUAGAGGGAAUUUUGUCCUGAAAUUAGCACUUUGACCGGGACUUCAAGAAUUUGGAGAAAAGAUGGGGAAAACUUCUCGUAGAACAAGAAAUUGAUAUGGCGGGGACCAAUCCGCCUGAUGUUAAAUGAUGCCUUAGAAUUUCUUAUUGUAACUUGAGCUAAGUAAAUUUAAAGGAGUUAUUGCUUUGAAAUGAUAAUGUAUUCUAUGUGUGUCUUUAUGCUCCCCACUACAAAGUGGAGACUCUCGUUCAUUUCGAUUUCGCCAAGUGGUAAUUGGGCACACUCACGUUUUACCGAAGUUAAUCACCUAAGUUAAUAACAUGUCGCCCAAGUUUUGAACAAUCCCUUUUGUUUUGCCCGUUGGUUUGCUGUUUGUAGGUCAUGCUCAAGUCUAACUUAGUUCCCUGCAAGGGUCGCCAGGGUCACGAAAAGAAUCUAAUAUCUCUGAUAGGGAUAACAUAUAUUAAUAGACCCUGUGGGCGCAUAAUCCCUUUGAUGUAUGUUUUACUCGCUUCCUCCAUCCUGUCGGUUUCUUUGAUUAAUAGGGAGUGUGUGUUUUCGGCUAAUCUGUCGACGGUUACCCAAAUGGUCCAUUGCCUUGGGUAGCUUGGUUAUGAAGCCCAUGGUUAGCCGCUCCCAUUUCCUUUCAGGUAUCAUUGGUUGUUGUAGGAGACGCGAAGGCUUCCUUUAUUCUCUCUUGUCAUUGGCACAAGUCUGAUACUUGCUCACAUGUGUAACGAUGUCUGCUUUCCUAUUCACCCACUAAGGGUACUUUUUGAGGUCCGGACACAUUUUUACUGAGCCUGGAUGAAGGGAAGUAGCGAUUUUUCGUGUGCUUCGUUCGUGACAUUAUUUCUGAAUCCAUCAAUCUCGGUGUCCAGAUCUGGUUCAUGGGAUAACAUGCCCCUCCGUCUGCGCCUUCUAGGUCCUUAUGAUCGGUGAAGAUUUUAUGCUUCGUGUCAUGGAGAUAAUGCCUCCAGACCUCUAGGGCGUACACUGCCGCUCAUAGUUCAAGGUCAUGCGUGACCUAGCCAACCUCGUUCGUCUUUAGCUGUCUUAAGCCGUAAGUAAUGACUUCUCCUCGGUGCGCUGCAUAGGGCCUGCUAUAGCAUCCACCAUUUGAUUAGAUCGGUUAGGAACUUAUGGGUUCAGAUUACACGACUAGACGUAUUCAGAUGAUAGGGCAUUCACUUGCACUCCUGGGUAACCUGUUCUGAAGUUCAUGGCAAGACUCGUACCUUGUCUAUCUAUCAUUAACUUGCGCAUAUAGGUCGUACGUACUUAAGGUUGGCAAGACAAUUGGAUGGGUGACUCUGCCCCAAGUCCACAACCAGACAUGGAACAGGAAAUAGGGCGGAAGCACACAUCCAAUGUAUGUGGAAGCUUAAUUAUAAAUUAUCCUUGCGUAUACACGUAGUAGUGGUAGACUAACCGUGUCCGUCCCAAGCUUCUGUGCUUGAACCUUGUCUGCUGUAUGCGUGACAUUCCCGAAAGGUCUCCUGUAAAUACUUGUGAUAAGGUUUUGGAAAGUAUAACACUCCUCUGGUGCGUGUUUUGGGGUUUCACAGUGAGAGAUGACCCGGAGGUCCGUGUUGGAUGUGUUUAUGGGAGACAAAGGUUUCGAUAAUCUGGGGGUUAGGUGAAGGGUCCUUUCGUAGUCGUUAAACCGGGAAGAUGAGGGCUAUACCAAUCAAAAUUGAAUGGUGACAACGGUAUAUCUUUAGGUAGAACAUGUGUUAUGUUGUAUUUGAAAGAAAUACUCAUUAGAGUGAUAGUGUAUCUUGUGUUUCUCUUCAGUGUGUUCCGUUUUUUUCGAUGUUAUUAUUACUGUAGGGGAUUCAUACCACAGUGUCUAGCACUGGUAGUGGGUGUGUUUCGAUAGCUAGUAAUGAUACUUGAUGUCAUGAUCCCUGAUAGGUCACUCUAUGAUCGAGCGGUAUAUGUAUGUCGUAUGUAGUUUGAUAUUGGUGUAAUCGUCAAGUGGGUGGCUUCACCCUAAUCCUACUACUAGACAUGGAACAAGAGUCAGGAUGGAAUUAUUUUUUUCAAUUCUUUAGUAUUUUGAUUACAAUUAACCCCGAUGUAUGCACAAAGUCAUCACAUAUUAUAGGUAAUGAUCCUAGGGUCAUCUAUGAGUGUCUUUGGUUUGAUUUGAACGAUAGAGUAUUUUAAUUACUUUUUAGAAGGACGGUGAUUUUAGCAAGCAUACCAAAUUCCUUACAAACAUAUGGUACUUAAAUGUUUUUGUCGUUAGGAACAUUACAAAAGUCCUAAUAGGUUUCGUUGCUGCUCCUGCUGUUGUGUUCAUCACACUCCUCCUGCUCUUCUGUCAUUCUUCUCGGUUGGACACUCUCACUUGAAGUGUCCCGUUUCACCGCAUAAGUAGCAUACUGGGCCUGCCUUGGUGCUGGUGAUUGAAGGGAGAUGCUGGGUCGGGGCCUUGCAAAAACGGACGUUAUGUCCUUUCCUGUUGCAAUUGUUACAGUGAAAAAUCCGACAAGCUCCUGUGUGAUGGUAGUUACACUUGUUACACUUUGGAAGUGCUCCCAUAUAUUUCUUUUCUGAUGCUUGAGCGAUAGAUGUUGUGGCUGAUGUCGAGGCAUGUGUUGUAACUGCUAUCGUNNNNNNNNNNNNNNNNNNNNNNNNNNNNNNNNNNNNNNNNNNNNNNNNNNNNNNNNNNNNNNNNNNNNNNNNNNNNNNNNNNNNNNNNNNNNNNNNNNNNNNNNNNNNNNNNNNNNNNNNNNNNNNNNNNNNNNNNNNNNNNNNNNNNNNNNNNNNNNNNNNNNNNNNNNNNNNNNNNNNNNNNNNNNNNNNNNNNNNNNNNNNNNNNNNNNNNNNNNNCCGUGACUGUCUUGAAAAGUAGCAGAGUCUAUCUGCAAGGUUGGCGCCUUGCUAGUUGGUUGGUUACCUCUUGGUGAAGACAUAGCUCUGUUUCACAAUGAAAACGUCUUCGUGAGUGGUGAUAAUUAUCUCAAGUGCAUUCUUACGGUUUAUAUUCAGAUAUAUAAAUUUUUUCACAUUGUUGUACUAUUCUUAGUGUUUCUGCUAACGUUCCUGAGACGGAGUUAUGGUAGUGGGUAGGAGUAGGCUUCAUACGGGCGUUUUAAGCUUUACUCAUCUUGGGUUCAUGUUUGUUCAAACACACUUGGCUGAGGAGUUUUGAUGGGAACCGGUGCAUUAGUGGUGGAAAGAUCGCAUCUUAUAGGUCUACGAAGAAGGCACCUCUCAACCAAAAUGUUCAAAGGUGAGACGAUAAUGAGUUUUUAGAAUGGCUAUGUCACGAGUUUUCUCACUAAGUUUAUCUUAGUUCAAUUUGCAAUGUAAUUCGGUUGUUAAGGGUGUUUUGUAAGCAGUUCGUAACGAGAGUCUUUAUAUGGUAAACUCAUGUGUUUUAGUAGUUUUGUAUCCCAGUGAAACCUUGUAAUUUGACCCAAGCUAGGUCCUUAUUAUGACCAGUUGAUGUAUGCUUAGUUAUACCAUUAAGACUAAAUAGACCUUCGAGUCUGUGAGGUAUGUCCUAAGCCCAUCUUGUUAAUAUGAUUCUAGUAAUUGUGGUUUCAACGAACAUUUUUGACCUCGAUAUAGGUUUACUCCAGACUAUUGUAGGGAAAAGUUUUGAUAGUAACUACAUCCCUUGAUUAGUAUAACCGCUUAAAUUGCAGUGACGUGCCUACACCUAGAAUGGAGUAGCACCAACACAUACUCAAAAACUUAAUUCACCAAGUCUUGUGAGCGGUAUGAACUCUACACAUGACAAUUCGUCCCUUGUGAUGCCUGAGGCAAAGUUGAUGCAUCAUGCAGCUUUGCCAAUCGACGCUUGGCUGCGAUCAUCCUAUCUUUGAAUGUCGUGUGCUACCCUGUCAUUCUCUUUCCUCUUCACGAGCGGAGAUAAGGUCCUAAAAAGGGUGUUGGCCUCUGAAAUAGUAGUCUCUUUCCGAGUCUUGGGUACGUGAGACGGUAGGGUCUGUAGUAGCGCAAUUUUCUGAACUCGGGUUGUAGUCUUCCUGUUUUAAUGCCUGAUGUUCGCGAUAUGUCAGGUCUUCACCAGGAGGGCUCUGUCAGUCGAUCCCCCGUGGUUGAGGUCAUAGCACCCUCGUUGGUCCCCACAUGGUGGUUGCUGUCAUUGUCGUCGACAUUCAACCCUCGAUCACGGUUGCCCAACGGGGCACAGGUUCGAUGUAGUCGAAAUGGUUCGCGAGAACCCUUGCUAUGCAUGGAGGAUUGAUUACCUCCGGUUCUGCUUCUGAUUCUUCGCAUAACCAUCCACCAUUUCUCUGGUUGGGAAAGUAGGGGUCGCAUGGUAAGUAGGAUCUUGCUAUGUUGUACAUGCGAAAGUAGGAGUGGAAGAGAUAACUACUCGGCGUCUAACUCUAUAAUUAAUUACUUAUAGGGGUCUUUAGUUUUCACAUAUGUUGGUUAUAGUAUUACAAAAUACUCCUAUAAUAUUUUAAUGUUUGAUUUGUGCUUCUCAAUGUUUGUUUGUAGAUAGAAUCGGUAAGUUUUUAGACUUGUUGCAACGCCACAACCAUUCUCAGGCAUAUGCUAAUCACUUCUGGGUUAGACAUAGUUGAUCAGGAUAUGCCCUUCCCAGACCUGACUAUACAUCCCCAAGCCUACUUGUGCCAUUCAACAAUCGUUGCUUUUGUUUCGUUCUAGCAUGAUGCUGACCUUAGCAUGUAUGCAUGCAUGUAUACUUUUAAUAAGAAACUAUUUAUUUCUAAAAGUAUAGUUAUUUGGAAAAUGUUAAAUCAGAGACCUUAGUCCCAAUGCAUUUAUAGUAUGUAUAUCUUAUGUGGUUCGAUAUACUUAGUUCACUAAAAAUAAUGCUCUGAUACCAAUCUGUCACACCCCCAAACCAAGGAUGGCGGAAACGUCCGGGGGUGGAGGACUUCAUGUAUAGUAUCACAACAACGAGUAUAAUAGUGCUCAAAGUAAAUACAACCAUCAUAAAUAUAAUUGAAAAACUUACACCAAAGUAUAUGUUUACAUGUUUCAAAUCAAUUACAUUAUGAUGACAAAAUGAACUGUUUGACGAUUCAACGUCCCAUCCUCAAAAUGCUGUUGGUUUUCCUGUUUCACUGAUUUCCUGAGAAUACAAGUUGUUUGGAAAAGUGUCAACACAAAGGUUGGUGAGUUCAUAAGAGAUUUCGUUAGAGAAGUAAACCGUUUUUCUUGUAAAAGCGAUAGAGUAUGUAUCCAGAAAAUCCAAUAUUUUCUUUUUAAAAGUUAUGUGGACCAAAAUCCCAAGACCGAGAAAUAACAAGUAUUUACCAAGACCGAAAGUGUAUAGUAAUAUCCGUACUUAUUGAUAUAAAAUGUGAUUUUAAAUCGACAUAAAACCCCUUUUGAUUUAUAAAAAGUCCCUUAAACUUUAUGUGUUGUUAGCUCCUUAUGUGAGUCGCUAUAACCAUACUAUGACUAGAGGUGACCUGCACAACGUCUUUCAGACGCCCUGAUCCUAUGACUCUUGUCACCCGCAGACCUGUUGGUCCGGCUGUAGCUAGCAGCGAGGUGUGGGAUGUCAACCCUAAUACGUAUCUAUACAUAAUUAUCACGCUCUCCCUACAAGAGAUUUUGGUUAUAACUUACAGGCAUUUGGAUCCUGUACUCAGACGUACGGGGAGAAAAUGUCUCACAACCUGAGUUAACAAGUUUACAUGUGGUGUGCGUGAGUGUAGAACCUUUUUCUGUGGGAAUAAGACUUUCCGAAAUGUGUUUGUUGUGUUAAUGGAAACAUAAACCAUAAUUAUUAUAGUUUAUCAAAAACGUUUAAAUGUAAUAUUUAAAACUUUGUUUACUAUGUUUAACUACUGUAUUUGUGAAGGUAAAAACCUUUUUGUUUACCGAUAUGUAUAUAUACCUUUUUCUAAAGUGAAGCAACAUGCAUUAGAACAACUAAUUAAUUACCACACUUUUGUUGGUAAAAAUCCAUUUGUAUUCUGAUGUAUGACUAUAUACUAAGACAAAAUGGCAUCUAUUUGUAAGAACAUAUUUUCACAUAAAGAUAUACACCUUGCUCAACAUGUUACAAGGUGAAAUGAAAUUGAUGGCAUUUUUCUGUUGUUAGCAUUUUCAUUUACUGUUCGUAGAAAAUUUAUAGCAAAUCAUCAAAGGUCCAAAUCAGAAUCCGUAAACUCUGAGAGUUUGGGAAAUGAGUCUAGUUUGUUCAUAAUUUUAAUUAUGAAUCUUAAUGACCUCCAUCUUGUGUGAAAAAGUCCAUAAUCACAGAUUGGUCCGGAUUCAUGUUUGAAAUGACAGGCAGUUUUGUAAAAAUCACCAUAAAACGUAGAAAAAUCGUGUGGAGAUGUGCAAGUAGCCAUUUUAAAGCUAAGAAAAGGAACUACUUGAACCUAAAACAGUUUUGAAAAGUAAAAUGUCUAAGUUGCCCAAAACAGUCCGUGAAUGGGGUUGAACGUUUCUGAUGAAGGCUGUUAAAUAAGUUUAGUUGUGUUCUUGGUGUUUUAACUUGUAUCCCCCCACCCCCUUAAAACUUAAGAAAAACAUGAAAAUAUAGGGGUAUGAACUCACCUUAUGUGAUUUCAGUAGAUGAAUUUUGGAGAAGAGAAGUCUUCAACUCAAGAACACUUGAAGAUGCCUUGAAGAUUUUCGAGAAUCUAACACCAAAGUGCUGGAGUUCGUGUAAGAAAUCAAUGAUUUGAGUAGAAUGAAGUGUAAUAAUCACAAAGAGGAUGAAUUAUACUUACCAAGAGUAUAAUGAAGCUUGAUGAUCAGCCUUGGAGUCUCAAAAUAGAGAGGAAAGUUUAAAAGAAAAGUGUUUGAUCUUUUGGUGGAAAAUGAGAGAAUGAAUGAAGUGUGAGGAGAGAUGAUGGAUAUUCCAUCUCUAAGAACGUGGGAAAUGGUUGAUGAUUGAUGGAAAGGUACAAGGAAGUGACUAGGGAUGGUGGGGAGGAGUGUGGGUUAGUCAUGGAGUCGGUAUGGUGGUUGCUUGUGUCAUAAACUAAAGAAAAGUCAACACUCCACCUGUUGUACUUCACCCACCCUUCUUGGAUAAUGUUUAUCCCCAAAAACGUGAUUAAUUAAUAAAUAUGGGGCCUUAUAUGUUAAAAUAAAGUUUUGGGUGAAAAUCCUGCGUUAAAACAAUUAAAAACGGGCCUAAAACGCAAAACUAGUCGAAAACCGGGGGAAAAAGAGCUUCCUACGAGACCUCUCGGUCCUAGGCCGAGGUUCGGUCCCUUCUGCUGCUGGGCCGAAGGCGAAAUGGAGCGAAAGGGAGGGUAGGAGGCGAAAUGGACUGAAGGUAGCUUCGGUUCCUUGUGCGAGGUUCGGUUCAACAUGCGAGGCUCGGUCCUGGGUGCGUUGCAUAGGGCCUGCUGUAGCAUCCACCGUUUGAUUAGAUCGGUUAGGAACUUAUGGGUUCGGAUUUCACGAGUAGACUUAUUCGGAUAAUAGGGCGUUGUUGGAUUAGUGUCUAAGUCCAUAACUAUUUUGGUAUGUACUUGACCCAAUGGUGCAUGGUCCUUUUAGGUUGCCUUCACCAAAGCAACUUGAUAGGAUGAAUUAUGGAGAGAGAGGAUUAAUCAUGAUUUAUUAAUAUAUUAUGAGAAUAAUAUAUUAAAGGAGAAAUCAUACUGUUUAAUUAAUAUUAGUCAAUAAUUAAUUGGAAAUUNUUGUGGCUAAAAGAGAUUAAUUAAAUAAAGGGGACUAGAACUGUUAUUUGUGUGAUAGUUGAAUAUUGAGCUAAUGGACUCCAUAGAGGAUGGAGUGGACGAAUUCUAUGGGGAAACCCAUUAGAAAUCGUCCAAGGCCUCUAAGGAGGGAGUCCUUGGGUUGCUUAGGGUCUAAGCAGUCAAAUUAGGGUUUCCUUGUUAGAUAACCCUAAUAGCCUCACUAUUUAAGGACCCCUAGGGCACCAAAAACGUGGCCAACUAAUUCCUUAGGGUUUCUACAUGUUUUUGGGUGCCUCCUCUCUUCUCAUUCUUCAUCCUCUUGCUCUUGGUGUUUGUGAUCCAUUAGAGGAGUAACACAUGUGACUCUAAGCUUUCCAAAGCCAUUACAAGGAGGAUUUGAGAUUGUUAUUGCUACAUAACAAUCAAGGUAAGAUCUAAACCCUAUUCUUAUGUUAAUUUGAUUAAUUGUAUACUAGAUCUAGUGUUUAUAGAUUUGGAUAUUGAAUUGCAUGUUCAUUAGAAAAACUAGAUCCAAAAGCUAUUAGGGUUUGCAUGUACACCAUAUGAAUGAUGUUUUGCUCUUAACCUAUCAGUGGUAUCAGAGCCAUGGCUGUUUGUUUGAUGUAUUUGAUGCUAUUAUGAAUUAUCCUUGCUUAAAAUUCUAAAUUUAGGGUUUCUGGGGGCUGAACUCGCCCAGUCCAUAGAUGAACUCGCCGAGUCAGUUGGUCAGAAAGAGGGAAAAUCAGGAUUUUGUGCUAUUUUGGCUUAGGAUUAUUACCAAAAACAUUUUUGAUGAAUAAAAUCCGAUUUUUAUUGAUUUUGGGUGAAUAUCCUUACCAAAAUAGAAGAUAAUAACCAAUUAAUCAAAUAUUUGUUACCUUAUAUGAUUAGAUUUAAUUAUUUGAAUUUUUUGGUGAAUUAUCUUGCAAGAAUUUGGACUAGGUCAAAUUAGAUAAUCACAAAUUAAUUGUUAAUUGCCUUAUUUGAAUUUUGUGAUCUAGAAUAUUCUUGACAUAGUUUGGAAAAGUUUCAAAAAUGAAUCCCUUUAGGUUUUAUAGUUUAAAUUUGAACUUAAAAGUUUUGUUUUUAAAUUUAAAUAAGUUAAACCCUAAUGUUUUGAAAUGUUUCAAAACAUGCCCUCAAGUUUUGGAAUUUAAAAGUUGAUUAAAAGUUUAAUUUAGAAAUGUUAAAUUCUAAAACCCUAGUAUUGUUUUGAAAAGUUCAAAUCACACCCUUAUGGUUUUAUUAAUUAAUUAAAGUGUAUAAUUAAAGGAGAUUUAAUAAACCCAUAAAGUUUUGGUUUACAUAUAAUUAAAUUAAUAGUAUAAUUUAUUAAAUUAGACCGUCUAGUAUUUUAAAAAGUGUAAAAUACACCAUAUACUAUAUAUAACAUUAAAAGUCUAGUAUUAUAUAUGUAUGAGUAAACAGUCAGUUUUACCGUUAGUAGGCCUCAUUCACGAAGAUGGUCUAUAAGGGAUGUUUAAGGAAAUUGCCUAUAAAAUGGCGAUUGAAUGGGUAUCCACUCUUACCCACCGCACUCUUGACUAGUGGAGGGUCGUUAGCCGAACGGGUAGGAUAGGACAGAAACCUUCCAUUAUAAGUAUAAUGAAGUACAAAAGUAACUAAAUGCUUUUACAAAAUUCCCAAUCUUAGUUACUUUAGGCAAAAGUGAAUUGAUGCAAUUCCAUGAAAUUACACUUUGUGCCCUUGCGAAGACGUUAGUGGAGCGUGUGUGGUUAACCGGCACACUAAAUGGUUCUAAGCAAAGGUAGCAAAGGGUGACUCAAUGUUUGUCAUAGUUCGGUGGAGCGUGUGUGGUUAACCGGCACAUCGAAUAGGUGACUGUAACAUGUGGGGGCACCAUGUAAGUUUGCAUGGUUAUUCACACCCUGUUUUGUGAUCCUCGGCAUCCCAGUCACAAAUCGAGGGGCAUAUCGAGAUUUAAACAUGCCAUUGAAAUGUUCAAUGAAUCUCAUCUAGGAAUUUUCAAUAGAUUUAAAACUUAAAUUUAUUUUUUGUUUUUCAUGGUGGAAAUUAGUGAAUCGUCAUUCACUUACCUUCACAUGUUCUGCAAUUUAGGUUACAACAUCCCUCUCCCAAGUUGUAGAGUAUUGUGUUGGGUCCUAGCCUUAAUAUCUCAUUUGGGUGAUUUAUUAAGGACUCAAUCAAUCAACUAACUUGAAUUUUAUUUUUCUCCCGUUUUGUAGAUGUCAAAGUAUGACAACUAUGGUCUUCCCAAAUCCCGUGGAACAAGCUUUUCACAUGAAGAUGAUAUUCCACGAUUCGAUCGAGGAACACGAGAUCAUACUUCACUUCCUCCACCUCCUCCUAUUGUUCUCCCUAACCCACAAGUUCAAAAGAAUGAAAAGUUCAAACUCACUCAUGCCCUUUUGGCAAGUAAACAUGAAGAAGGAAAGUCAGUGUGUGCACACGUCCUAGAGAUGAAGUCACACAUUGGUAGGUUAAGAAUGUUAGGAUCUGUUGUCUGUGAGGAGAUGGAUGUUGACUGGGUUCUUCAGUCACUUCCUGACUCAUAUAGUGAGUUCGUAAGAGAGUACUAUACGAUGAACCACGACGCAACCCUCAUCGAUCUCAACUAUAUGCUUAUUGCUGCUGAAUCAGCAAUGAUUUGGCGCACUGGAAAAGCAAAGUUGAUUGGUGGAUCUGCCUUCCAGACAUCUAUGGAUAUAGGCAAUGGCAACGAAAGGCAUGCCAUGAUCAAAAAGUUUAAUCAUAAGAGAAAGGCAAAGUCUGAAGUAGUUCCGUGUGCCAUUCCAAAAGAAUCCAUUUGCUUCUAUUGCCAAGAGAAGGGGCAUUGGAGACGAAGCUGCCCUAUUUACCUAAGAGAUCUAAGAGAUGGGAGAGUCAAAAUGUAUGGCUCUACUUUAGGGUAAAAUCCAUUAACUAACUAUUUUAAGUUCCUAUUCUAGAUUCUUAAUACAUGAUGUGAUUAGAUUACAUUUCGAUGUUUUGUAGGAUCGAAGAAAAGAGAGGAAGCUUAAGGGAAGAAGUGAGCGGAAUCUAAUCGUCAAGAAAUGGAUUUCGAUCGCAUUACUUGAAGAUUAGAAUCUUGAGCUACUACUUGGAGUUAGAAUAAGAUUGCUAAAAAAUAUGUAUUAACAUACUUUUUUUCAAUUGAAUUGCAUUGUAAGGAAAAAAUUUUCCGCAAUAAAAUAAAUUUUGAUUUUAUAUUAUUUAUUUAUCCUUGCAAUGGCGUGUAUGAAAAAUUGAUGUUUGAAGGUUUCUAUUAUUAGCAAUAAUGGAUUUGAUUCUUAAUUAUGGAAAGGUCAAGAAUUUACCAAAUAGGUAAAGUUUCUCAUCGCCUAAGUUUCAAUUGGACAGAAACUUGGAAUCAUACAACUUGGUUGCAUGAUGUAUGAGAAAUUCCAUAUUUGGAAAUUAGACUAAUUCGUUGACAAAGUGUCAAGUCAAGGACUUGGAGAUCGAGUACACAAGGUUGUGUGUUGAUCAAGUCCACCACAAGAGUGACAAAGAUAUUCGUCAUUAUUUACUUAAGGUUUAGUAAAUAUGAUUAUACUUAUAAGAUUAAGUGUAAUUCCGAGUUGAUUGAAAGAGUUUAAAUCAAUAGCAGAACGAAUAAGAAGUGUAGGGUCCAUUAGGUGUUGUGUCUUGGGCUCGGUCCAUAGUCCAAAUUUUGUAUCCGGAUUGGGCAUGUCCAUUCGUGAUUUUAUUAUUAGGGUUUAGUAUUUAUAGAUGCUUGCAUGCAUCUUUGUACAUAAGUUUUCAGAGUUGAUAAUUCACAGAAUAUAUAUUUUAUCGAUUGUAACCCUAGAAAGCCUCUACAGCGGAAGUUCUUUAUCGAGCUCAACUGAGGCGUGAAUCUAUUGAAUCAUUCAACAUAUUUUGAUUCAUUCUCUUGUUUGAUAUUUCUGUUUGAAUUAUUGUGAUCAACCUGUUUAAGAUCUAAUCGAUCAAAGAGUUUUUCAACUCAUCAAUUGGUAUCAUAGCAGGAGACUAUGUAAUUCAUAUACAUCUCUUCUGUGAAAGAAGUGAUUAUGAUUUAUUCCGCAUUCAUUGAUAUUUAUUGACCCGUCACUCCAUAAUUGAUGUAUCUCAUUAAUUAUUCAUCUUGCCCUAAUAUUACGUAUUACAAAGUCUGAUCUUAUAACAAGUUAAAUGAUCAAGCAUGGACGAUUCUCAAUCCAAUCCCAUCAACAUCUCUAACAACAUCGGAUCAACCACCAUGAUUCCAAUCCUCUACACUCAAGACUAUGAAGUGUGGAUGCACCACUUUGACGAUUACAUUAUUGGAUCUGAAGAUAAUGGGUAUCUGAUAUGGGAAGCUAUCACAUCUGGCCCUUUCGCUCAUUUAAGCACUUCUAGAAUCAUUAAAACUCAAAAGGAGUAUAAUGAUCUAUUAAAAGAUGUGAAAGACGUCGCUCAGGACGAAAAGGAGAAGUUCCAAUGCAACAUUAAGGCACUGAGAUUAAUUCGAUUCGCUCUUCAAUCCGACACGUUUCGAUUAGUAAGUUCCUGUGGUACAGCAAAGGAAAUCUGGGAUCGGCUGCGAGAGCUGUACUCCACAGAUGAAGAUCUGGAGCACGCAAUUCAGACCCUACUUCUCUCUGAAUUUGGAGAAUUCAUGCAGAUGCCAGAGGAGGUUGUUACACAAACAUUUGAGCGAUUCAAUCAUCUUCUCAGCAAGAUGAUCAAACAUGACAUUGAAAGAAAGCUCAUCGAACAGAAGGUCACUUUCUUAAAUGGCCUAAGACCCGAAUGGAGGGCAGUUGUGUCGACGGUUAAAGCGCAUGAGCAGUUCAAUCGUAUUUCUUGGCAAAACUAGUGGGGAUUCCGAAAUCCCAGGAAAAGAUUGUGCUACAAGAUAAGUGCGUGGUUUCAAACUUGGGGUCUUUGGCUCUUCUAUCUAAAGGUAAGAAUGCAACAGAAGAAGAAGAUUUGAAUCUGGGAGACUAUGAUUUAACUUCUGAAGACUAUACAAUGAUGCUGUCAAAUCCCAGAAGGUUCAUCAAGAAGAAGUUCCCUACCAACAAGAACCGAAACUGGCAGGGAAGCUACAACUCUGAAAAGGUGAAAAAGGAGUCGAAGGUUGAAGAAUCAAAGAAAGAAGCGAAGGGUGAAGCUGACUCUGGUGUCAGUUGUUUUUACUGUGGUGGGAAAAAUCACUACGCAAAAGAUUGCGUGUUGAAAAAGAUGGCAGAGAAAGAUGAGGAAAAGGAUGAAGAAGCGAGUCUCCUGAAAAGACCGGAGGAGAUUAAAAGGAAGAAGGAUAAUACUAAUCCCUCUAUGAAUUCUCUUGUUGUGCAGGAUUUGGUAGAUGAUGAUGAGUUCGGUGGCGUACAGGUAUCGUCAACCGACUCAGAAGAUGAUGAGGUGAGAAAGCCUUCUCAUGGAAAGGCUUAUGUGGCGAAGAGUAGUGAUGCUUGUGGAAGAUGUCUGAUGGUGACGGAUGUAUCCCAGAUGAGAGGAUACAACACUGAUGGAGGAAACUAAGUGGAUAAGGAGCGAGAGGACGUGUGCUUUACAGCGAAGCCUCUCAGUAUGCAGAUCAGUGAACUAGAUGAACUGAUCAAGAAGGUACAAUCCAUUUUUGUUGCAUUUAAAAUUCCAAAAACAUCAUAUGAAAAGGAAUUAAAUAACCUGAAUUCAAGAAUUUCAAAUCUAGAUAGUUGUUUAACUCAAACACGUGUCACGAAUUCUAAUCUAACUGACCAAAUAAGCAGGGUAUCAUCCAAGAGUGAGGAGCGAAUGAUAUGGAUAGAGUAGAAGGAGUUGGAGCUGGUUAAGUCUAUGGAUGAGAAUAUCUAUUUGCAAAGAGACAAUCUUAAGUUGUUGAAACAGAGAAAUGUUUUUUGUUUGAUUGCAAAAAGACUUUAUACUAACAUCACUCAGCUGCAUUUAAACUGUGAAAUAGGUCAGAAGAUACAUCGCAUGAUUUCGCCAUUCCUUGAGUUAAAGGAGGAUGAAAUCAAUGCCGAAGCAUACAACUGUGAAAGUGUUGUAUCUUUAGAUGAUGUAAAUCCCACUUAUAUGUAUGGUCUGGAAAAAAAAUUGAAUCUUUUAUAAAGUCCAAAGACCAUAAGGACAUGCUUAAGAAUCUUUUGCAUGAAAAUGAUAAGUUGAAACUCAAGGCCGAAACUAUACAAAAAUUUGACUCAUUGAGUACCAAAUUAAGUUCAGAAAAUAAAAUUGAUGUUGAAAAUGCAUCUGAACUUAAUGAGGACGAUGACAUGAGUGAAAUCUCUGUAGACGAUGAGGUUGAUUGUUCCGAGUUUAUUAAGAGCGAACCCGAAAACCAAAAAAACUUAAUUUCUGAAAAUUCUGUGGAAUUCUCUCGUCUGUCCAAAAACAUGUCCGCAAUCCUUAAAGAAAAGGCCGUUGUAUAUCAAAAGGUUAGAACCACUCCAAAUCAGGUUUAUAAGGUCACGGGAGUAAUCGAACAUCAGACAACCGAACUCACUGCCAUAGUGAAUGAAGAUAAUGCAGAUGGCUGUGAUGAAUUUUUCUGGUCUGCACCGAUAGACAACGCAAAUGAAACAGUUGGUUUGUCGGAGAGAACAUCAUGGAAGGCCAAAGGUAGAUAUGUGGCAGAACCACUGAAUAAACCUACCAACUUUGACAUGCCCAGUUCCAGCGGAACAAAAGAGGUUCCAAUGGAAUAUGUCUCCUCAACUAGCGAAACCUCUUCCAUGAAAAAUGAACCUGUUGCUAAGAAGUCGAAACAAAAGCAGAGAAAUCUGAGAUACAAGAAAAAUCUCUCAGAGCGAAAGCAAUUUUGGCGCUCCCAAAAUCCCCACUAUACUCACUUUGAUAGAAAUUCCUAGCCAAAAGGAGAAGAAAAUAAGAGUAAAAGGAGCUUCGGUUCAUCAGAUCAAAAGAACCAGAAGAAGCUUUCGGGCCACAGGAAGAACAAAACCGGAAGGAUAGGUUCGGUCCCGAAAGUAACAACAACCGAAAGGCUGGUUUUGGUCCACCAAACAACAAUAGACAAAGACCAGAGUUCAGCCCAUCAAGCUUUUACAGUAGAAGACCCAGCUUCGGUCCAGCAACUCACAACAACCAGAAAAACAGUUUCAGUCCAUCAUCAAACCGCAACCGAAGGUCCAGGUUCGGUCCCUCAAAUGACCACAGCCGAAAGGGUCAUUUCGACCCUCAAGUCAGGAAAGAUUCUAAUUCUAAUUUCUUUUCCUCUAAUUCUUCUCGUUCUCAUUCUUCUUCUAUGCCUAAUUCUCGUCCUACACCAAACUCACAAUCGUCAAAGGAUUUGAAAGGAAAAAGGAAGAUUUCCUCAACAAAUGAAGACCGAAAGCAAGGUAAAGUCCAAACGCCCGAACCUGAAUCCAAAAUACCUGCAUCUAACUCCAAUAAAAUCAAAGUGUUUACCAUUAAGAGGAAUGAUGAAACAAACUUAAUAAAACAAACAUAUCUUGUUGAUGUUUCUCUUACUACUCCUGUUUCUGUAAGAGGCUCAUGAGGACCCAAGAAACUUUGGGUUCCUAAAUCUGCUUAAUUUUUGCAGGUUAUAAGUGACGAGCAGUUCGACAAAGAAUAGUACAUAGACAGUGGCUGCUCACGUCACAUGACAUGAAGGAAGGAAGAGCUAAGGGAGUUCGGUCACUUCAAAACGGUGGCAAUGUCAAGUUUGGUAAAAAAUCUUAUGGAUAGAUAAAGGGUUAUGGGAUUAUAACCAAUGGAGAUUUUACAAUCAGGAAGGUGGCGUAUGUAGAGGGGUUGCAGCAUAACCUCAUCAGUGUGUCUCAACUGGUCGGAGGUACAGGUCUCAAAGUAUCAUUCGAUGACGAAUGUUCAGAGAUAAUAGAGAAGAAAUCCAACAAAGUCAUUCUCAAGUCUGAACGAAAAGGUGAAAUGUUCCCUCUGAAUCUCAGACCAAUCAAAGGGAAUCUAACAAUAUGUCUUUUCUCCAAAGCUCAUUCAGACGAAAGUGGGUUGUGGCACCGAAGGCUGUCACAUCUCAACUUCAAAGACAUCAACAAGCUUGUCACCGGUGGGCAUGUUCGGGGACUUCCACUGCUCAAGUUCGAUCGUGAACACUUAUGUGCUGCAUGUGAAAUGGGGAAACAAAGUCGCCAAAGUCACCCAAGAAUCAUAAACACCAAAGUUGUUGAACCAAUUGAGUUGCUUCACGUCGACUUAUAUGGUCCAUCAUCAAUAAAGAGCAUUGGCGGCAACAAGUACAUCCUUGUGAUUGUUGAUGACUUCUCACGAUUUACAUGGGUAUUCUUUCUAAAGCACAAAUAUGAGGCGACUCCCAAACUGAAGAUCUUUAUCAAGCAGGCCGAAGUGCAACUGAGAAAAGUCGUUCGAAACAUCAGGAGCGACAAUGGACUGGAAUUCAAGAACAAAGAAUUCGAAGAUUUUUUAGCAGAAAAGGCACCUGUCACAACUUCUCAGCCCCCUAAACACCUCAACAGAACGGAAUUGUCGAAAGGCGAAACCGAUCCCUGUGUGAGGCGGCCCGAUCCAUGCUGAUUUUUGCUUCUCUUCCUCUAUAUUUAUGGGCUGACGCUAUUGCUGCAACUUGUUUUACUCAAAACAGAUCUUCUCUCAACUAGCGUUUCUCACUCACCCCUUAUGAGAUUAUUAACAACAGGAAGCCGAAUGUCAAGUUCUUUCACGUAUUCGGUUCAAGGUGCUUCAUCUUCAACUCCAAAGAACAUCGCAACAAGUUUGAUGUCAAAGCUGUUGAAGGUAUCUUACUGGGAUAUUCUCUUACUUCAAAGGCAUACAGGGUUUUGAAUAAGCAUUCUAAAAGAAUUGAAGAAACCUAUUAUGUGACGUUCGAUGACAAUUACAUCAAAAAGAUGAAGUCUAGUGAAGAAGCAAUUGGAGAGAUUUUCUCUCAAAUAGGUCAAGUCACAACAUCGAUCGCCAAUUUCUUAGACCAGUUCAUGGAUUUGUUUGAUGAACCUGAGAAAGCUGCUCACUCUGAGGCCACGGCAGCAGACAACAAGAUUGAUCACCUUAAGAAGAUUGUCGAAAAUGCAGCCAAACAAAUGGGAAAAGGAGAACCACUUCGAAAAGAACCUCCCCAGAGCGGUACUUCGGUCGAGGGGGAGAAUCAAUUUUCUUCAAAUCAUCAAGACUCACAUAUCCAGGGGGAAUCCUAUCUUUGACGCACCGGAAAGCUCUGUUGCACCUGAAAGUCCUGUAGCACCCGAAAGUCCGGUAGCACCCGAAAGCCCCGCUGCACCCGAAAGCUCGGUUGCACCCGAAAGUCCAGUGACAACCGAAAGUCCGGAUCAACCCGAAAGCUCAGUCGAACAAAGACUUCUUGGUUCAUCAUCUAUCGAGGGGGAGAACUCAGAUAUGCUCUAUGAUGAUGACAUUCAAUCAGAGUUAAAAGAAAUGGUAAAUGCUGAAUUGGAUCCAUCCUAUGAUCCAAAUUAUCCUCCUCUCACCAAAUGGACCAGAGAUCAUCAUGUAUCUCAAAUAGUGAGUGAUGCAUCUAAAAAGGUUCUAACUUGAUCUCAACUGAAGGCGAAGCAAACUGCCUUAUUCUCCAAAGUAGAAUUAUGCAUGUUUAAUUCUUUCAUCUCCAAAAUAGAGCUGAAGACCGUCAAUAUUGCUCUCGAUCAUUCUGAUUGGGUUCAGGCAAUGCAAGAUGAACUCAAUGAGUUUGAAAGAAAUAAGGUCUAGAGACUCAUUCCAACAACAAAAGAUGCAUCGGUUGUCGAUCUCAAAUGGGUGUUUAGAAACAAAAUGGACAAGGAGGGAAAUGUGAUUCGAAAUAAGGCUCGGCUAGUGGUGAAAGGUUAUUGCCAGGAAGAAGGAAUCGAUUACGAAGAGACAUUCGCUCCGGUAGCAAGGCUGGAAUCCGUUCGAAUAUUUCUUGCCUAUGUUGCACACAAAAAUUUCGAGGUCUACCAGAUGGAUGUGAAGUGCGCCUUUUUGAAUGGGGAACUUGAAGAAAUUGUGUACGUGGAGCAACCUCCUGGUUUUGUAAAUGAAAAGCAUCCAGAUUACUGCUACAUCUUGGAUAAGGCUGUUUAUCAUCUGAAACAAGCACCUAGGGCAUGGUAUGAAACAUUAACUAAGUUUUUAAAGAUGUCUAAAUUUAAACAAGGUUUAGUUGACCCAACCUUCUUUCGUAAAAAGGAAGGUAACCACCUUAUGAUCGUUCAAAUUUAUGUCGAUGAUAUCAUCUUUGGCUCAACGAAUCCUAGCCUAACCGCUGAAUUCAGAAAGUUGAUGGAGACUAAAUUUGAAAUAAGCUCAAUGGGUCCAAUUAAGUUUGUCCUUGGUUUAAAUAUUAGACAGGGACCCGAAGGCAUAUUUAUCAACUAGGAAGUAUAUACGAAGACUCUCCUUGCUAAAUUCGGCAUGAUGGGAGAGUCGAAGGUCAAAGUCCCUAUGGCGUUUGGUACCUAGCUCACACCAUCCUUGGAAAAACCAGCAGUCGACAUAACGCUAUAUCGCCAAAUGAUUGGUUCCCUGAUGUACCUCACCUCUAGCAUGCCAGAUAUAAUGUUUUCAGUGUGUUAUUGUGCCAGGUUCCAAGCAAAUCCUCGUGAACCACAUAUGUUGGCAGUGAAAAAUAUAUUCCGGUAUUUUAAGCGAACCACCUCUCUCGGUCUCUUGUAUCCCUCAAACUCAGGUUUCUUCGUUCAAGCCUACUCAGAUGCAGACCUAGGAGGAUGUGGUCUAGACCGGAAAAGCACUACAGGAGGGUGUCAAUUCCUCGACGGGAAAUUGGUGAGUUGGCAAUCUAAGAAACAAACAUGUUCACUAAGACAAAGCAUAUAGCACUGAGGUAUCACUUUAUUAAGGAUAUGUCAUAACCCAGUGCAACAUUCCAAGACAAAGCAUAUAGCACUGAGGUAUCACUUUAUUAAGGAUCAUGUGGAAGAAGGAAACGAAGAAAUUCACUUUGUUGGAACCAAUGAUCAACUGGCCGACAUCUUCACCAAAGCCCUUCCUGAAGCAAGUUUCAAUAAAAUCCUACAAGGCCUAGGUAUGAUGGAAUCGGAGUCAGUACCAAAAACACCUUCUCAAAACUAAAAGUUGUAAGCGAAAUGAACCGAACGCUCGGUCUAUCUCGAGCUCGGUUCACAUGGGAACCGAAAUGAACCGAACGCUCGGUCUAUUUCGGGUUCGGUCCCACUGCACUUAUUUUCGCUUAUCUCAAAAUGGUGAUAUCUUUGGGUGUAUACUUUUGUACAAUUGUUUUCCAAAAAUAUUUUUUUUUAAACCGAAAUGAACCGAGCGUUCGGUCUAUUUCAGGUUCGGUUCAAAUUUAUUUCAGUUUGGUUUGUUUUGUUUUUCUCUUUACAAAAAGUAUCAAAAAUUCCAAAAAUAUUUUCUUUCUUUAUGUCUCUACUUCUGUUUAUGUUAACAGUUUAUGGAAAUCGAUAGGGCAGGUAUCAUUCUCACACUUUUUACUAGCUAAGUGUCCCUAGAAGCAUGCUGCUGCAUGUUGUCCAAAGCCUCAACUGAUUUUGAAUAAAGCCUUAUUGACUCAGUAUAUACAAACCUUGUCUUCCCAAUUAACCUGCAACAUUUAUUCAAAUCAUGAGCUACCUUACUCUUUCCUCACAUGAGUUAAGAGUUUUCUGCUUGGUCACUAUUUUUAUAGCACAGGUACUUUAGUUUUCUUACACCACCUCAAAUAUUUUUUCUCCAUCAUAUUCACUUCAUACAAGUAACCCUUGAGACUCUCAGAAAUUACCACUGAGGUUUAUGGUUACACAAUCUCUAUGUUUGUGAUCUUAGCUUCGUGUCACUACCUGCUAAGUGAAACCCACAAUUCAAUACCCACUAUGCAUUGACGGUGAACAAUUAAAUUUGCUCUAGCUUUCACUUAUGAAUUAACGAAUCCACUCAAGUGGUUGUACCAUGAAAUCUCUAUUUUCCAUUUGCGUGAUUCUUAUGAAAUUGUUACAUACCAUAACAUUUCUUCACAUAGAAUCCAGUUUUAAAUUUUCUUGAGAUUUCACACCAAGCAUUUUCAAUAAGUCACUAAAAUAUUGUCCAAACCUACUUGUUCAAUAGAUCACAUCGGUCUCAUAAGUACUUCAUUCGGUUUCUAUCUUAUGUCAAGAUCAGGAAUUCUGAACUAAAGCGAAAGCCACCUUUAUAAGCCUCAUUAAAAGAUGUCUUUCAACACUUCUUACCAAGUGCUUGAUCGUAAUUUAACGGGAAACCACACAAACACUUUAAGGUCUCUCUUGACUUUGAAGGAAGAGAUUCGUGCUUGGGAUCCACUGUUUCGUGUCUAUAUUGGCAUCACAAUUUCCCACAUAUAUGUUUGUUUAUUUCUUUAUUCUUGACACUCUACGCACGAAAAUCUUUUUGAUUUUCCAAAAUUCUGGUUUCGUUCCCUACAAGCUAUUUUUAUAGUUAUGGUAUUUAAUUCUAUAUUCUCAACAGGAUGCUAUGGUUUAUUUACGUGGUUGCUUUUAUUUAGUGAAGACAACUCAUUUUAAGGAUAAGAUGAUGACGAAGCCGGGAGACCAAAGGUUUCAUGGAAUUCAAAAAGGUAACUGUCACGCGUCAAUCAACUCAGGAACCGAUUCAUUUUUCAAGAAGAUUCGGGGGCGGAUUUUUCUCUCACCUCUACACACGGUAUAAAGGGUAAACCCUAAGUUUUUUUACCUCUUUACUGCACCCAAUUUUCUGAGAGCAAACAAAGAUGCUUUUCUACCACUGUUCAUCUCCUUCUUCGAAGCACUCAACAAUGGCGGAUUCCUCCUCUGUUCAUGAAACCUCCCACAUUCUCCCUAUCUGACCCCAACAAAGCUUGGUCAUUGAUCUCACCCCAUUUUCGUACGAUGCCUUCAUGUACCCUAUAGUGGAGUGUCUUAAACACUCUCCACUGGUUCUCGCACUGACCAAGGUCGAAAUCGUACCUAUGGAGUGUUUAUCCCAGAUUUUCUCUACUGCCCACUACGACAAGUCUUUUGAUCGCAUUUUCUUCGACAUUCUUGAUACCAAAACCUCCAUCUCAAAACAACGAUUCUGCUCGCUUCUAGGGUUUGAACAUGAUGAGUCGAGGGUUAACCCUGAGUCGAUUUAUGUGGGACAGUUGUUCUCCAUGUUUUACAAAUGGGUUACACUGAAAUCCUGACCACCGUCACGAAGUUCAAGUAAUCGUGUCUUCCUCCUCAGUGGAAUGGCUUUUUCACGAUCCUGUUCAAGGGUCUAUCAGAGAGGAGCGUAGGUUCUGAUGGGGCUAGUCGUAUAUUCAUGACGAUUCUCUAUGGGUUGUACACUGGUUUCAACCUCGACUAUGGCUCAGCUUUAUGGCAGCAGUUAAUCCAAAGCCAUGCCUCUACUUCUCGCCAUUCUGAAAUUUCAUAUGCAAGGUUCUGGACGCUCGUCACCAAAUGGGCAAUGGACAAGUAUCAUGUCCCGAUUGUGGCUAAAACUCCACUCUCAUCUAUCGGCGUCUUCCACACUACGAAGAUCAUUGUGACGGAUCCUUCCAAGUUUCAGUUUGUUGGUUCUAUUCCAGAAUCAAUGUAUGCAUGUGUAUCAGGGGAGAGUCGCAUCAACAAGACCUACAAGGAGUUUCUUCCUUCGGGUCCCAGAGAGCUCACUCCAGAGAUGAUUCAGUCAAUCUAUGACGCUGACAAGCUUCCUCCCAGGGGCAAGAAACCAGAAAAGGGGAAAGACAAGAAGGUGGUCAAAGGGGCGAAAGGCCCUUCUCCUAAAUAGAGAAAACCCAUGAAGGCAGCCCAAUCACCUCCACCAAAGAAGAGGAAAACCCAUCCACAUGACUAGAUCCACAUGAUUGGAUCAUUUUGCAUAAAAUCCUCCUCACCAAUGAAGCUAAAUAUGGGCCGAUCAUAGAUCACUUCAAGAGGAUGUUGGUUUGCUACAUCAUGGAGGUUGCCAAGAUGGAUCAGGAGAUUGCAAGUGUCUUCAAGAAGAAGCCCACCAUCUCUCCAGUUGGUUCUGCAAGUGAUUUGAAUAUGAUGAAGAUGGGGAGAAUCGAUCCAAAGCGAAACCAAUCAUGUUCGCCAGGAAUGAAGGCCAAAAAUGCCUGUUCGCCUUAGCAGACAAGCAUCUUUAUACCACUUCGUGCUUGGAGCAUGUUCUUGGGAUCAUUAAUCGGUGCAAGCAGAAUUUUGAAGAUGACAAGAUGUAUUUUGAUGAUAUGAUCCAGUGGUACAUUCAUUUCAGACAGACCAUUCUUGCCAUCAUUCCUCGUCUGUUCGAUACCACGAAGAAAGUUCCUUCAGCAGGACCCAGCAAGCCUAAGUAGAGUCUCGCUCCAAUUGCGCAAAGGGGGAGAUUGUAGGGUCCAUUAGGUGUCACGUCUUGGGCUCGGUGCAUAGUCUAAAUUUUGUAUCCGUAUUGGGCCUGUCCAUCCGUGAUUUUAUUAUUAGGGUUUAGUAUUUAUAGAUGCUUGCAUGCAUAUUUGUACGUUAGUUUUCAGAGUCGAUUAUUCACAUAAUAUAUCUUUUAUCGAUUGUAACCCUAGAAAGCCUCUACAACAGAAGUUCUUUAUCGAGCUCUGCUGAGGCGUGAAUCUAUUGAAUCAUUCAGCAUAUUUUGAUUCAUUCUCUUGUUUGAUAUUUCUGUUUGAAUUGUUGUAAUCAACCUGUUUAAGAUCUAAUCGAUCAAAGAGUUUUUCAACUCAUCAAGAAGAAUCAAGUAGGCAGAAAGAUAAAAGUUUCUCUAUUCUAAGAAGAAGGGAGAAUACUUUUUAUUAUGUUCUAUGAUAGGUCUUAAUGAUUAAGAACCAUAUCUCAAUUGAUCCUCUAAGUGAGUCUUAGCGCAAUUGUAUGUCUCAGAAAAGGAAUCAAGAAUUGAAGAAAUGGUUAAAUCAAGAAGUCAAUCAUACUUCGUCCCAAAAACAAGUCUUAGAGUUAAGAUUGUGAAUUGAGUGACAAGUCUUAAGAAGGUUUAUAACAUUCAUCAAAUGUGGAAUUUGGAUAAGGUUUUAUUAUUCUUGCACAUUUGAAAUUGGAAAUUUGUGAUGUCUUGGAUAAGACAAAGACCAACUAGGACCAAUUUUGUGAAGUGUUUUGUCUUGAUAAAAGCUACACUAACUCUUAAAUAUUUGUUUGUCGAGAAAUGUUUAUUCACAAAGACUUAUAUGUCAAGGAGUCAAUGGGAGUCUUAAUGGUCUUGAAAAGUUCAAGAACUAAUCAAGAAUAAACCUUAUCAAUCAUCACUAGCACACAACUUGAGGUUUACAACCUAUCGUGUUGACAUUAUUUUGUUUCUGUGCCAUUCCAAUUGAGUUAAUUAUGCAUGUGAGUUCUAUGAGUUCUCAUUUAAAGACAUAAAAGGCAAGCAACUUGAUCAAUGAAAGUACAUUGAUUUGAAAGGGUGAGCUGCUUAAUUACUUGGAAGACAUGGUGGGCACUCGUGUUACCAUAAGGCAAGAAAUCAAGAUUGAGAAAGUUCAGUCCAUAUGAGUUUGGAUUUGUCGCAAACGUUGGUUUUGACAAAUUCACGUUGAUAGGAACACAUACAUCAGAAAAUCUAAGUGUCAUAAGAUUCCUUCCUUCAUGAAAAUGACUGUGAGGAAAUACUUUCACUAAGAGAGGUUUUAAGAAGAUAGCAAUUGUGAAAAUUGUAUUCUCACAUUCGAUUAUGGUUACGGCAUCCCUUUCCAUAGUUCGAAUUGUGAGAUUUGGCAAUUAGUUUGAACAUUUGGAACUUAGUAACAUAAAUUCUAAAUUGUUUAANCUAUCUAAGGAAAACGUGUAUAAGUUUAACAAGCUUAGAUAAAGGAUUAUGAAAGCAUUAGGUAUUAGAAAUAUGAACUUCAGAAAUUCAAUAAGUAUUGUUUUCUGGAAGUUCAGUUGUUUUCUAAAACAUGUCAAAGCUAGUGGGAGCAUAAGUGUUAUGCUUAUAUGAUAAUAAUCAUCAUGAUAGUGGGAGCAUAAAUGUUGUGCUUGUAUGAUUAUUAAGGCAAGUAUUGCAAGUUAGCAAUAUUAAUUAUAGAAAACAAGAGUUAUACUUUGCAAAGUCGUAAGGGUUGAAAAGUUGUUUUGCUAUAAUUAAGGGAGAGAAUAUUGUACUUCGUUUCAAAAUCUAAAGCUUAGAUUGAGAAAUUUUAAUAAAUUUAGUCAAAGGAUACAUAGUGUGUUCUUAAAUUUCGAUUAUGAUUACGGUAUCCCUCUUCAUAGUUCGAAUUGUAAGAACGAGACACAUAAAAUAUUAUGGCAGAAGAUUGAUAAAGUAUCAUAUCUUUAUGUAAGACAUUAUGCAUCGUGUCCCAUACGCUUCGGGUAUAGGAUUGAUUGCCAGUGCUAUUAUAUUUGACCAUUCUAAAAUUUUCCAAAUGUCUAGCGCAUUUAGAGGGAAAAAGGACUAGAAUCGGUUUUGACUAAAAUAAUUAAACAACUAUCAAAGGACAAUCCAAAGCUCGCUGAGGAUUGGUCGCUUGUGAGUAGUUGGAAGUAUGGUAUUGGAUGACAUUAUUAUGAAUAGAUAGGCUUCUAUUAAGAAUGAAUUGUCAUAUGGAAAAUAUGGAAAUGUUUCCAUAUUGGGAGUUGGAUAUUGAGAAUCUAUGUCUAGAUUAGAAACUUUAAUGCAAGAAUGAUGUUCAAAGGAAUGUACUUUGAGUGAGAGACAUCAUAUCUAUAGAAUUGUUUCUGAUAGAGAUUGGCCAAGUCUUGAUGAUUUUGAGCUAUGACUUUACGAAAGAAUCAUUGCAUAAAAUGUUAGAAUCUAGCAUAAGUAACCAGAAUUUGAUAUUCUUAUACUUAUGAUAAGGAUUGGGAGUUGUGAAAUGAGUAUGAUUGGAAAUGUGUUCAUUUGAUUUAUUUCACAAAGUAAGGACCGUAGGUAAACAUUGUGUGCAUGCUGAGAGCAUGAGACAAGUGUAGUAAUAAUUCAAGUAAGAAGUUGAUUACCUGAAACAACAAAUAAUGAGUAAUCAAUAUGGUGGUUAAAUAAACUGUUUUAUUUAUACCCAGAGUUUGGGGCCAUAUAGGAUUAGUAUUAUUCUUGUGUCUCACUUUACAUGUUUUGACUUCCUAAAUAAUUUAAUUGGUUUAGGAGAAUCAAAUUAUUCGAACGGACCACAGUUAUUCAUACGUUGGAAGUAGGUAUGAAUGAAGACUAUCGUGAAUUGGUGUGUGGAUUGUAUAAAGUGUAUUAGACAUAAGAAAAUGUGUGCUGCAACGUUCAUGAGUGCUUAAGAAUAUGAUUUGAGCAUUGGAUUAAAACCACGCUCACUUGGAUCACUUCAUGGAUUUUAUCACGAGUGAUUGGUGAGACGAUAAUAUCUUAUAUUCUUGAAACUGAGAUGUGUGAGUUGUAUCUUGCAAUUCGGUUACACAUUGAUAAUAUGUAAACGCACCACUAACUUGGUGUCAUUAAACAUAUUGUUGUGUGUGAUUUGGUGAGUGAGUGCAAGCAAGCAUUGAAUCGGAGUUUAUCCGUUCCUUUUAUCCAAAGUGGGAUGAAAGCGAUAUCUGUGGGUCCCUCGAUGAUUUAGUGAUGACACAUAAGCGCUUGGCCAAGCCGAGACUAAUUUGAUGUGUUCAAUUGUAGUCUAUUUUCAGUCGUCAUAAAUUGGAAAUCGGGAAACAACACAUAGACAGAGAGAAUGAUUUAAAUCCAUGUCUCAGUCUAUACAAUAUCUAUAAUGGAGGAAUAUAUGAUCCUUUAUCUAAAGGACACGCUUCUGAUAGGAUCAGAGUUGACAGCGGUUUUUGAAAGCUACGAUUGCAGAUCGGGAUCUGAAGUCAUACGCAAAAUAGUUAUUAGACUUAUCCAAGUGGGAGACUGUUGGAUUAGUGUCUAAGUCCAUAACUAUUUUGGUAUGUACUUGACCCGAUGGUGCAUGGUCCUUUUGGGUUGCCUUCACCAAAGCAACUUGAUAGGAUGAAUUAUGGAGAGAGAGGAGUAAUCAUGAUUUAUUAAUAUAUUAUGAGAAUAAUAUAUUAAAGGAGAAAUCAUAUUGUUUAAUUAAUACUAGUCAAUUUUAGGGUCCACUAUGUGUUGCGUCUUGGGCUCGGUCCUUAGUCCAAUUUUGUAUCUGGAUUGGGCCUGUCCAUCCGUGAUUUAAUUAUUAGGGUUUAGUAUUUAUAGAUGCUUACAUGCAUCUUUGUACGUAGCGGUUUUAGUCGAUCAUUCAUAGCGAUCAUAGUUUUAUCGAUUGUAACCCUAAAAGCCUCUACAGUGGAAGUUCUUUAUCGAGCUCUGCUGAGGCGUGAAUCUAUUGAAUCAUUCAGCUCAUUAUUGAUUCAUUCUCUCGUUUGUUAUUCUGUUUGCAUUAUUCUGAUUAACCUGUUUGAGAUCUAAAUGAUCAAAGAGUUUUUCAACUCAUCAAUUGGUAUCAGAGCAAGAGACUAUGUAAUUCAUACACAUCUCUUCUGUGAAAGAAAUGAUUAGGGUUCAUUCCGCAUUCAUUGAUAUUUAUUGAUCCGUCACUCCAUAAUUGAUGUAUCUCAUUAAUUAUUCAUCUUGCCAUAAUAUUACGUAUUACAAUGUCUGAUCUUAUAACAGGUUAAACGAUCAAGUAUGGACGAUUCUCAAUCCAGUCCCAUCAACAUCUCUAACAGCAUCGGAUCAACAACAAGAUCCAAAUCCUCUACAGUCAAGACUAUGAAGUGUGGACACACCAUUUUGAAGACUACGUUAUUGGAUCGGAAGAUAACGGGUAUCUAAUAUGGGAAGCUAUCACAGUUGGCCCCUUCACUCACUCAAGCAUUUCAAGAAUCAUUAAAACAUAGAAGGAGUACAAUGAUCUAUUAAAAGAUGUGAAGGACGUCGCUCAGGACGAAAAGGAGAAGUUCCAAUGCAACAUUAAGGCAUUGAGACUAAUUCGAUUCGCCCUUCAAUCCGACACAUUUCAGUUAGUAAGUUUUUUGGUACAGCAAAGGAAAUCUGGGAUCGGCUGUGAGAGCUGUAUUCCACAGAUGAAGAUCUGGAGCACUCGAUUCAGACCCUACUUCUCUCUGAAUUUGGAGAGUUCAAGCAGAAGUCAGAGGAGGUUGUUACACAAACAUUCGAUCGGUUCAAUCAUCUUCUCAGUAAGAUGAUCAAACAUGACAUAGAAAGAAAGCUCAUCGAAUAGAAGGUCACUUUGUUAAAUGGCCUAAGACCCGAAUGGAGGGCGGUUGUGUCGACGGUUAAAGCGCAUGAGCAGUUCAAAUCAUAUUAUUUGGCGAAAUUGGUGGGGAUUCUGAAAUCCCAGGAAAAGAUUGUGCUACAAGAGAAGAGCGUGGUUUCAAACUUGGGGUCUUUGGCCCUUCUGUCUAAAGGUAAGAGUGCAGUAGAAGAUGAAGAAGAUCUGAAUAUGGGAGACUACGAUCUGACAUCUGAAGAGUAUGCAAUGAUGGUGUCAAAUCCCAGGAGGUUCAUCUAGAAGAAGUUCCCUACCAACAAGAACCGAAAUUGGCAUGGAAGCUACAGCUCUAAAAAAGUGAAAGAGGAGCCGAAGGUUGAAGAACCAAAGAAAGAAGCGAAGGGUGAAGCUGAUCCUGGUGUCAGCUGUUUUUACUGUGGAGGGAAAAAUAACUACGCAAAAGAUUGCGUGUUGAAGAAAAUGGCAGAGAAAGAUGAGGAGAAAGAUGAAGAAGCAAGUCUCCUGAAAAGACUGGAGGAGAUUAAAAGGAAGGAAGCUACUACUAAUCCCUCUAUGAAUGCUCUUGUUGUGCAGGAUUCGGUAGAUGAUGAUGAGUUCGGUGGUGUACAGGUGUGGUCGACCGACUCAGAAGAUGAUGAAGUGAGAAAGCCUACUCAUGGAAAGGCUUAUGUGGCGAAGAGUGGUAAUGCUGGUGGACGAUGUUUGAUGGUGACCGAUGUAUCCCAGAUGAGGGGAUACAACACUGAUGGUGGAAAUGAAGUGGCUAAGGAGCGAGAGGACGUGUGCUUUACAGCGAAGCCUCUCAGUGUGCAGAUCAGUGAACUAGAUGAACUGAUCAAGAAGGUACAAUCCAUUUUUAUUUCGUUUAAAAUUCCACAAACAUCAUAUGAAAAAGAAUUAAAUAACUUGAAUUCAAGAAUUUCGAAUCUAGAUAGUUGUUUAACUCAAACACGUGUCACGAAUUCUAAUCUGACUGACCAAAUAAGCAGGGUAUCAUCCAAGAGUGAGAAGCGAAGAAUGUGGAUUGAGCAGAAGGAGUUGGAGUUGGUUAAAUCUAGGGAUGAAAAUAUCUAUUUGCAAUGAGACAAUCUUAAAUUGUUAAAAUAGAGAAAUGUUUUUUGUUUGAUUGCAAAAAGACUUUAUACUAACAUUAAUCAACUGCAUUUAGACUGUGAAAUAGGCCAGAAGAUACAUCGCAUGAUUUUUUCCUUCCUUGAGCUAAAGGAGGAUGAAAUCGAUGUCGAAGCGUACAACUGUGAAAGUGUUGUAUCUUCAGAUGAUCUAAGUCCCACUUAUAUGUUUGGUCUGGACAAAAUUGAAUCAUUUAUAAAGUCCAAAGACCAUAAGGACAUGCUUAAGAAUCUUUUGGAUGAAAAUGAUAGGUUGAAACUCAGAGCCGAAACUAUACAAAAAUUUGACUCAUUGAGUACCAAAUUAAGUUCAGAAAAUAAAAUUGAUGUUGAAAAUGCAUCUGAACUUAAUGAGGACGAUGACAUGAGUGAAAUCUCUGUAGAGGAUGNUGACUGUUCAGUUUAUUAGGAGCAAACCUGAAAACCAUAAAAACUUGAUUUCUAAAAAUUCUGUGGAAUUCGCUCGUCUGUCCAAAAAUAAGUCCCCAAUUCUUAAAGAGAAGGUCGUUGUUUACCAAAAGGUAAGAACCACUCCCAAUUAGGUUUAUAAGGUCACAGGAGUAACCGAACAUCAGACAACCGAACUCUCUACAUUGGUGAAUGAAGAUAAUGCAGAUGGUUGUGAUGAGUUUUUCUGGUCUGCACCGAUAGACAACGCAGAUGAAACAGUUGGUUUAUCAGAGCGAACAUCAUGGAAAGUCAAAGGUAGAUAUGUGGCAGAAUCACUUAAUAAACCUACCAACUUUGACGUGCCCUGUUCUGGUGGCACAAAAGAGGUUCCAGUAGAAUGCGUCUCCUCAACAAGCGAAACCUCUUCCGUGGAAAGUGAACCAAUUGUUCAGAAGCCGAAACAAAAGGCAAAUAUUCACAGACAACCAAAACAGGUGAAAAAUCAAAAGCAGCAAAGAAAUCUGAGAUACAAGAAAAAUCUCUUAGAGCGAAAGCAAUUUUGGCGCUCCCAAAAUCCUCACUAUACUCACUUUGAUAGAAACUCCAAGCUAAAAGGAGAAGAAAAUAAGAGUAAAAGGAGCUUCGGUCCAUUGGAUCAAAAGAACCAGAAGAAGACUUUCGGGCCACAGAAAGAACAAAACCGGAAAGAUAAGUUCGGUCCCGAAAGUAACAACAACCGAAAGCCUGGUUUCAGUCCAUCAAGCUUUUAAUGCAGAAGACCCAGUUUCGGUCCAGCAACCAACAACAACCGAAAAGCCAGUUUCGGUCCAUCAACAAAUAGCAACCGAAGGUCCAGGUUCAUUCCUCAAAUGAUCACAACCGAAAGGGUCAUUUCGAACCUCAAGUCAGGAAAGAUUCUCAUUCUAAUUUCUAUUCCUCUAAUUCUUCUCAUUCUCAUCCUCCUUCUAAGCCUAAUUCUCGUCCUACACCAAGCUCACACUCGAAGAAGGAUUUGAAAGGAAAAAGUAAGAUUUCCUCAGCAGAUGAAGACCGAAAGCAAGCUAAAGCUCAAACUCUCGAACCUGAAUCAAAAAUACCUGCAUCUAACUCCAAUAAAAUCAAAGUGUUUACUAUUAAGAGGAAAGAUGAAACAACCUUAAUAAAACGAACUUAUCUUGUUGAUGUUUCUCUUACUAUUCCUGUUUCUGUGAAAGGCUCACGAGGACCAAAGACACUUUGGGUUCCUAAAUCUGCUUAAUUUUUGCAGGUUAUAAGUGACGAGCAGUUCGACGAAGAAUGGUACAUCGACAGUGGCUACUCACGUCAUAUGAUAGGAAGGAAGAAAGAGUUUAGGGAGUUUCGGUCCCUUCAAAACGGUGGUAACGUCAAGUUUGGUAACAACUCCUACGGAACGAUAAAGGGUUAUGGGAUGAUAACCAAUGGAGACUUUACAAUCAGGAAGAUGGCUUAUGUAGAGGGGUUGCAGCAUAACCUCAUCAGUGUAUCUCAACUGGUGGGAGGUACAGGUCUUAAUGUCUUGUUCGAUGACGAAGGUUUAGAGAUAAUAGAGAAGAAAUCCAACAAAGUUAUUCUCAAGUCAGAACGAAAAGGUGAAAUGUUCCCUAUGAAUCUAAACCCAAUCAAAGGGAAUCUAGCCAUAUGUCUAUUGUCCAAAGCACAUUCAGACGAAAGUUGGUUGUGGCACAGAAGGCUCUCACACCUCAACUUCAAAGACAUCAACAAGCUAGUCAUCGGUGGUCAUGUUCGGGGACUUCCACUGCUUAAGUUCGAUCGAGAACACUUAUGUCCUGCAUGUGAAAUGGGAAAACAAAGUCGCCAAAGUCACCCAACCAUCAUAAACACCAAAGUUGUUGAACCACUUGAGUUGCUUCACAUCGACUUAUGUGGUCCAUCAUCAAUCGAGAGCAUUGGCGGUAACAAGUACAUCCUUGUUAUUGUUGAUGACUUCUCACGAUUUACUUUGGUAUUCUUUCUAAAGCACAAAUCUAAGGCGACUAGCAAGCUGAAGAUCUUUAUCAAGCAGGUCGAAGUGCAACUGAGAAAAGUCGUUCGAAACAUCAGGAGUGACAUUGGACUGGAAUUCAAGAACAAAGAAUUCGAAGAUUUCUUAGUAGAAAAAGGCACCAGUCACAAUUUCUCAGCCCCCUAUACACCUCAACAGAACGGAAUUAUCGAAAGGCGAAACCGAUCCCUGUGUGAGGCGACCCAAACCCUGAUGAGUUUUGCCUCCCUUCCUCUAUAUUUCUGGCCAGACGCCAUUGUUUCUCUCUCACCCCCUAUGAGAUUAUUAACAACAGGAAGCCGAAUGUCAAGUUCUUUCAUGUGUUUGGCUCAAGAUGCUUCAUUUUUAACUCCAAAGAGCAUCGCAGAAAAUUCGAUGUCAAAGCCGAUGAAGGCAUCUUUCUGGGAUAUUCUCUUACUUCAAAGGCGUAUAGGGUUUUGAAUAAGUGUUCUAAACGAAUUGGAGAAACCUAUUAUGUAACGUUUGAUGACAAUUACGUCAAGAAGUUGAAGUCUACCGAAGAAGCAAUUAGAGAGAUUUUCUCUCAAACAGGUCAAGUCACAGCCUCAAUCGCCAAUUUCUUUGAUCAGUUCAUGGAUUUAUUUGAUGAACCUGAAAAGGCUACUCACUCUGAGGCCACGGCAACAGACAACAAGAUGUAUCACCUUAAGAAGAUUAUCAAAGACGCAGCCAAACAAAUGGGAGAAGAAGAACCAAUUCGAAAUGAACCUCCUCAGAGCAAUACUUCGGUCGAGGGGGAGAAUCAGCUCUCUUCAGAUCGGCAGGACUCACAUUUCUAGGGGGAGGGUCCAUCAUUUUCAAUCGACGAUAAUACUCAUGGCUAGGGGAAGAAUCCAAUCUUUGUCAGAACCGGAAGCCCAUCCAGAACCGAAAAUCCGUUUGCACCCGAAAAUCCUAUAGCAACCGAAAGUCCGAAACAACCCGAAAGUCAUGUAGCAACCAAAAGUCCGGAACAACCCGAAAGUCCUGUAGCAACCGAAAGUCUGGAUCAGCCCGAAAGCCCAGACGAAGAAAGAUUUUUUGAUUCACAUCCAAAUGAUUCAUCAUUUGUCGAAGGGGAGAAUUCCAAUAUGCACUAUGAUGAUGAUACUCAAUCAGAGUUGGAAGAAAUGGUAAAUGUUGAAUUGGAUCCAUCAUAUGAUCCAAAUUAUCCUCCUCUCACCAAAUAGNGAUCAUCCUGAUCUCAAAUAGUGGGUGAUGCAUCUGAAAAGGUUCUAACUAGAUCACAACUGAAGGCGAAGCAAACUGCUCUAUUCUCCAAAGUAGAAUUUUGCAUGUUUAAUUCAUUCAUCUCCAAAAUAGAGCCGAAGACCGUCAAUAUUGCUCUCGAUCAUUCUGAUUGGGUUCAGCCAAUGCAAGACGAACUCAUUGAGUUCAAAAUAAAUAAGGUCUGGAGACUCAUUCCAACACCAAAAGAUGCCUCGAUCGUCGGUCUCAAAUGGGUGUUCAGAAACAAAAUGGACAAGGAGGGAAAUGUGAUCCGAAAUAAGGCUCGGCUAGAGGGGAAAGGAUAUUGCCAAGAAGAAGCAAUCGAUUACGAAGAGACAUUCGCUCUGGUUGCAAGGCUGGAAUCCGUUCGAAUAUUUCUUGCCUAUGCUGCACACAAGAAUUUCGAGGUCUACCAGAUGGAUGUGAAGUGUGCGUUUCUGAAUGGGGAACUUGAAGAAACCGUGUACGUGGAGCAACCUCCUGGUUUUGUAAAUGAAAAGCAUCCAAAUCACUGCUACAUCUUGGAUAAGGCAGUUUAUGGUCUGAAACAAGCACCUAGGGCAUGGUAUGAAACAUUAACUAAGUUUUUAAAGAUGUCUAAAUUCAAACAAGGUUCGGUUGACCCAACCUUCUUUCGUAAAAAGGAAGGUAACCACCUUAUGAUCGUUCAAAUCUAUGUCGAUGAUAUCAUCUUCGGCUCCACGAAUCCUAGCCUAACAGCUGAAUUCAGGAAGUUGAUGGAGACUAAAUUUGAAAUGAGCUCAAUGGGUCCGAUUAACUUUUUCCUUGGUUUAAAUAUUACACAGGGACCCGAAAGUAUCUUUAUCAACCAAUACGCAUACACUAAGACUCUCCUUGCCAAAUUCGGCAGGAUGGGAGACUCAAAGGUAAAAGUCCCUAUGGCGUUCGACACAAAGCUCACACCAUCUUUGGUGAAACCGGCAGUCGACACAACGCUAUAUCGCCAAAUGAUUGGUUCCCUGAUGUACCUCACAGCUAGCAGGCCCAAUAUAAUGUUCUAAGUGUGUUAUUGUCCCAGGUUUCAAGCAAAUCCUCGUGAACCACACACGUUGGUAGUGAAGAAUAUUUUCCGGUAUUUAAAGCGAACCACCUCUCUCGGUCUCUGGUAUCCCUCAAACUUAGGUUUCUUCGUUCAGGCCUACUCAGAUUCAGACUUAGGAGGAUGUGGUCUAGACCGAAAAAGCACCACAGGAGGUUGCCGAUUCCUAGAUGGGAAGUUGGUUAGCUGGCAAUCGAAGAAACAAACAUGUGUUUCUCUAUCUACAGACGAAGCAGGGUACAUUGCAGCCGCCUCCUGCACAUCACAAGUAAUUUGGAUCCAAAGCCAACUCUGAUAUUAUGGACUCAAUAUGAAAAAGAUCCCACUAUAUUGCGACUCGGAAAGUGCAAUUAGGAUCUGUCAUAACCCAGUGCAACAUUCCAAGACCAAGCAUAUAGCACUGAGGUAUCACUUUAUUAAGGAUCAUGUAGAAGAUGGAAACGUCGAAAUUCACUUUGUUCGAACCAUUGAUCAACUGGCCGACAUCUUCACCAAAGCACUUCCUGAAGCAAGUUUCAAUAAAAUCCUACAAGGCCUAGGUAUGAUGGAAUCGGAGUCAGUACCAAAAACACCUUCUCAAUACUAAAAGUUGGAAGCGAAAUGAAUUGAACGCUCGGUCUAUUUCGGGAUCAGUUCACAUGCGAACCGAAAUGAACCGAAAUCUCGGUCUAUUUCGGGUUCGAUCCCACUACACUUAUUUUCGCUUAUCUCAAAAAGGUGAUAUCUUUGGUUGUAUACUUUUGUACAAUUGUUUCCAACAUUCAAAAAUAAUUUUUUAAGGAACCGAAAUGAACCCAGCGUUCGGUCCAUUUCUGGUUCGGUUCAAAAAAAACUUUGUUUGGUUUACUUUGUUUUUCUCUUUACAAAAAUAUCAAAAUACCAAAAAUAUUUUCUUUCUUUUGUCUCUACUUCUGUUUAUGUUAACAGUCUCUGGAAUAUCGAUGUGGCAGGUAUCAUUCUCACACUUCAUACUAGCUAAGUGUCCCUAGAAGCAUGCUGCUGCAUGUUGUCCAAAGCCUCAACUGAUUUUGAAUAAAUCCUUAUUGACUGGGUAUAAACAAACCUUGUCUUCCCAAAUAGGCUGCUAAGUUUAUUCUAAUCAUGAGCUACCUUACUCUUUUCUCACAUGAGUUAAGAGUUUUCUGCUUGGUCAUUCUUUUAUAGCAGAGGUACUUUGGUUUCUUUACAACACCUCAAACAUUUUUCUCCAUCAUAUUUCGGUUCAUAUAUGUAACCCUUGAGACUCUCAGAAAUAACCACUGAGGUUUAUGGUUACACAAUCUCUGUGUUUAUGAUCUUAGCUUCGUGUCACUACGUGCUAAGUGAAACCCAAAAUUCAAUACCCACUAUGCAUUGACGGUGAACAAUUAAAUUUUCUCUAGCUUUCACCCAUGAAUUAACGAAACCACCCCAAGUGGUUGUACCAUGAAAUCUCUAUUUUUCUUUUUGUGUGAUUCUUAUGAAAUUGUUACACACCAUCACAUUUCUUCCCAUAGAAUCCAGUUUUACAUUGUUUUUGAGAUUUCACACUAAACAUUUCCAACAAGUCACUAAAUAGUGUCCAAACCUACUUGUUCAACAGACCACAUCGGUCUCACAAGUACUUCAUUCGUUUUCAAUCUUAUGUCAAGAUCCAAAAUUCUGAACUGAAGUGAAAGCCCCCCUUCUAAGCCUCAUCAAAAUAUGCCUUUCAACACCUCUUAACAAGUGCUUGAUCGUAAUUCAACGGGAAUCCACACAGACACUUUAAAGUUUCUCUUGACUUUGAAGGAAGAGAUUCGUGCCCGGGAUCCACUGUUUCGUGUCUAUAUUGACAUCACAAAUUCCCACAUAGAUGUUGCUUUAUUUCCUCAUCUUUGACACUCUAUGAACGAAAAUCUUUUUAAUUUUCCAAAAGUCUGGUUUGGCUCACUACAAGCUACUUUUCUUUAUGUAGCUCCGGUUCUUAAUGCUAUAUUCACAAGGGGAUGAUGUGGUUUUUCUAAGUGUUUGCUUUUAUUUAAUGACGUCGGCUCAUUUUAAAGAUAAGAUGCUGACUCAGCUGGGAGACUAAAGGUUUCAAGAAUUUAAAAAGGUAUUUGAUGGGAAGGCGUGCUAAAUGGAAACGUUUUUCUCUCUCAUGCGUAACCAUCGGGGUUGCCAACUGUCACGCUUCAAUCAACUCAGAAAGCGAUUUGCGUUUCAAGAAGAUUUGGGGGCGAAUUUUUCUCUCACCUCUAUACACAGUAUAAAGGGUUAAACCCUAGUUGUUUUACCUCUAUACUGCACCCAAAUUUCUGAGAGCAAACAAAGACGAUUUUCUCCCACUGUUCAUCUUCCUCUUCGAAGCACUCAACAAUGGCGGAUUCCUCCUCGGUUCAUGAAACCUCCUACAUUCUCCCAAUCAGACCCCAGCAAAGCUUGGUCAUUGAUCUCACCCCAAUUUCCUAUGAUGCCUUCAUGUAUCCCAUAGUGGAGUGUCUCAAAUACUCUCCACUGGUUCUCCACUGACCAAGGUCGAAACUAUGCCUAUGGAAUGUCUAUCCCAGAUUUUCUCCACAACUCACUACGAUAAAUCUGUUGAUCGUAUCUACUUCGACAUCCUUGAUACCAAAACCUCCAUCUCAAAGCAGCGAUUUUGCUCGUUUCUAGUGUUUGAACCUGAUGAAUCGAGGGUUAACCCUGAUUCAAUCCCUGUGGGUCAAUUAUUCUUGAUGUUUUACAACAUGGGUUACACUGAAAUCCUUACCACUGUCACGAAGUUCAAGAAGUCGUGUCUUCUUUCUCAAUGGAAUGGAUUUUUCACGAUAUUGUUCAAAGGUUUGUCUGAGAGGAGUGCAGGUUCUGAUGGGGCCAGUCGUUUGUUCAUGACGAUUCUUUAUGGGUUGUACAAUGGUAUCAACCUCGAUUAUGGCUCAGUUCUAUGGCAGCAGUUGAUCCAAAGCCUCACCUCUACUUCUCGCCACACUGAAAUCUCCUAUGCCAGGUUCUGGAUGCUCAUAACCAAAUGGGCAAUGGACAAGUAUCAUGUCCGCAUACUGGCCACUUUUCCACUCUCCUCGAUUGGCGUCUUCCACACUACAAAGAUCAUAGUCACUGAUCCUUCCAAGUUUCUCUUUUUUGGCUCAAUUCCUGAGUCCAUGUAUGCUUGUGUAUCAGGGGAGAGCCGCAUCAUCAAGACCUACAAGGAGUUUCUUCCUUCGGGUCACAGAGAGCUGACUCCAGAGAUGCUUCAGUCCAUCAAAGAUGCCGACAAACCUGCUCCCAGGGGCAAGAAACAAGAGAAAGGGAAAUACAAGAAAGUGGUCAAAGGGGCAAAACGCCCUUCUCCUAAAAAGUGAAAACCAGCAAAGGCAGCCCAAUCACCUCCACCGAAGAAGAGGAAAACCCAGCCUAAACGAAAACUCAUUCUUGCUUCUUCCUUAAGUGAAUAAGAGGGUGAAAGUUCAGACUCAGAGGAGUCAUUUCGAGGCGACUCUCCUCCCCGUUCACCUUCACAUGAGGUACCAGUUACAACCAAACUUGUCUCUUCUCCCCCUGUCACUAUCUCUAUUUACAUUCCUCCCAUAACUUCCUCCACUCAAAUUCCACCCACUUCUAUUCCUGUACCACCUCCCAUUUUCUCAGACGCUACAAAAACAACAACUACUGGAGUUCGAACCAACGUAUCUGAUACGAGGGCUCGUACUUCAGCACCCGAACACACACCAGCAACCGAACAUACUCCCACAACCGAACCUCCACCAUCGCCUUCAUAUCCCAAUCACUCAGCAAAAACCGAGACAUUUCUAGGAGGGGAAGAUAUGACCUUCGAUUCUGUUUACUACAGUCCCUACCAGGUUCAAAGAGAUGAUGAUGAUGAUGCACCUGUCACCAAAAAGCACAUCAAGGAAGUUCAUGAAAAAAUUGAUAAUCUUGUCGCUUCUUCCUCCUCCUCUCGGUCCCAUAUCACAGAAGUUGCCAUUCAGGGGAUGGUUGAUACUUUUACCAAGGCACACGAAGCCUCCAUCAACUCUGCUACUGUUGCUAUAGAUGCAUCCACCAAGGCAUUUGCUGCUGCGACCGAAAAAGUCGAAAAACUAUUUCGCGACGCUAAAGCCUUUUUGGAGUCUUUACAGGGGGCAGCUGAAUCUAAUGCAGCGAAGUUUGAUUCGGUUUUUGAGAAGCUGGCUACUUCCUUUGAAACAGAAAAGCAUCACUUUACCAGUCUUCGUCAGACCCUUGAAGCUGACAAUAAAUCCUUCCAGGCAACCGUUGAGGAUCGCUUGACCAAGCUCCAAGAAGACCUUGCCUCGGAAAACUCGGUGAUGGAUGCACUUGCACGCAAAACAACUGCACUAAAAAUCAAGAGUCUUCAGCUUUCCCAAACUGAGAAGGAAGUUAAUUCUCUUCGACCCGAGCGAGCUGUCAUUUCGAGUUGUGUUUCGAAUGUCCACGGAGCCCUCUCAAACAUCAUUGAAGCGCAUGACCCAAUUCUCAACUACUCAGUGAGGCGAACUCUUGCUGAGAAACUUUCUCCUGUCCUUGCCUUGCUCAGCAAAAUUAAAGGGCUUCCUGAUCAAGUGGUACAUCCAAAAAAAGGGGGAGAAGGAGCUUCAAAGAGCAGUAAUCAAUCACAACCGCCUCCUACUUCAUCAGAUCCAACUAAAGCUACCGAACCACCAACAACUGGUCAUGCUUCAGGUUCGGGUGCUCAAGACAAAGGAAAAAAUAUUCUCGAUGAUAGUGAUGGAGACGAUGACAAAGAACCCAUUGUUGAUAUCUUGAAGAAACAGGCCAGAGACAAGGAACCAGACAUGAGUGCUCAGAUCCCUAGGGAAGCCGAGGCAAAUGAAAGGAGGAUGAAGGAGGCUCAUGAUCUCCUUGAAAGUCGAAAAACCCUAUUCCCUCCAUGGACUCUUGAGAAGCUUAUCAAAGAAUCCAUCGAGUCCCCCAGCAUCCUCUGGCUUGAACCUGUGAUCUCUUUGGACAGGGUUAACUUUGUUGACUCUCAGUUCGACAUGCCCUUGACCUGAAAGGCCUUUAUAUUUCAUUCAUUUCCCCACAUUGCUGAAGUCCCUCAUCCUCACCCGAAGGUCGAUAGGGAACUUAUUAAUUUCUAUCUGAGGUUUGCUCAGCCUCAGUAUCAGACGUGGAGUGCACAAAAGAUCGUCAACGUUCGGGUCCUCAAACCCUUUCGGGAGGGUAACUUCACGAACGUCAGAUUCAAAGUUUUGAGGGGGUCAGAUAAAACCGAACAUGCCAUUACUCUCGCUGAUCUUCCUAACCUGAAUCCUCAUGAUUGGAUCAUCCUGCAUAAUAUCCUCCUUACCAAUGAAGCUGAAUAUGGGCCGAUCAUAGAUCACUUCAAGAGGAUGUUGGUUUGUUAUAUCAUGGAGGUUGCUAAGAUGGAUCAGGAAAUUGCUAAUGUAUUCAGGAAGAAGCCCACCAUCUCCCCAGUCGGUUCUGCAAGUGAUCUGAAUAAAAUGCAGAAGGGGAGGAUCGAUCCGAAGCGAAACUCAGUUAUGUUCACCAGGAAUGAAGGCCAAAAAUGUUUGUUCCCCUUGGUUGACAAACAUCUUUAUACCACUUCGUGUCUGGAGCAUGUUCUAGGGAUCAUCAAUCGGUAUAAGCAAAAUUAUGAAGAUGACAAGAAGUACUUCAAUGACAUGAUCCACUGGUAUAUUCGUUUUAGACAAACUAUUCUUGCCAUCAUUCCUUGCAUGUUCGAUAGCACGAAGAAGGUUAAUGCAGCAGGAUCCAGUAAGCCAAAGUAGAGUCUCGCCCCCAUUGUAGGGUCCAUUAUGUGUUGCGUCUUGGGCUCGGUCCUUAGUCCAAUUUUGUAUCUGGAUCGGGCCUGUCCAUUCGUGAUUUAAUUAUUAGGGUUUAGUAUUUAUAGAUUCUUGCAUGCAUCUUUGUAUGUAUCAGUUUUAGUCGAUCAUUCAUAGCGAUCAUAGUUUUAUCAAUUGUAACCCUAAAAGCCUCUACAGUGGAAGUUCUUUAUCGAGCUCUACUGAGGCGUGAAUCUAUUGAAUCAUUCAGCUCAUUAUUGAUUCAUUAUCUUGUUCGUUAUUAUGUUUGCAUUAUUUUGAUUAACCUGUUUGAGAUCUAAACGAUCAAAGAGUUUUUCAACUCAUCAUCAAUAAUUAAUAAGAAUUAAUUUUGUGGCUAAAAGAGAUUAAUUAAAUAAAGAGGACUAGAACAGUUACUUGUGUGAUAGUCGAAUAUUGAGCUAAUGGACUCCAUAGAGGAUGGAGUGGAUGAAUUCUAUGGGGAAACCCAUUAGAAAUCGUCCAAGGCCUCUAAGGAGGGAGUCCAUGGGUUGCUUAGGGCCUAAGCAGUCAAAUUAGGGUUUCCUUGUUAGAUAACCCUAAUAGCCUCACUAUUUAAGGACCCCUAGGUCACCAAAAACGUGGCCAACUAAUUCCUUAGGGUUUCUACACGUUUUUGGGUGCCUCCUGUCUUCUCAUUCUUCAUCCUCUUGCUCUUGGUGUUUGUGAGCCAUUAGACGAGUGACACUUGUGACUCUAAGCUUUCUAAAGCCAUUACAAGGAGGAUUUGAGAUUGUUAUUGCUACAUAACAAUCAAGGUAAGAUCUAAAUGCUAUUCUUAUGUUAAUACGAUUAAUUGUAUGCUAGAUCUAGGGUUUAUAGCUUUGGAUAUUCAAUUGCAUGUUCAUUAGACAAACUAGAUCCAAAAGCUAUUAGGGUUUGCAUUUACACCAUAGGAAUGAUGUUUUGCUCAUAACCCAUCAGGCGUUCACUUGCACUCCUGGGUAACCUGGUCCGAAGUUCAUGGCAGGACUCGUACCUGGUCUAUCUAUCAUUAACUUGCGCAUAUAGGUCGUAUGUACUUAAGGUUGGCAAGACAGUUGGAUGGGUGACUCUGCCCCAAGUCCACAACCAGACAUGGAACAGGAAAUAGGGCGGAAGCACACAUCUAAUGUCCGUGGAAUCUUAAUUAUACAUUAUCCUUGCGUAUACACGUAGUAGUGGUAGACUAACCGUGUCCGUCCAAAGCUUUUGUGCUUGAACCUUUUAUGUUGUAUGUGUGACAUUCCCGAAAGGUCUCCUAUAAAUACUUGUGAUAAGGUUUUGGGAAGUAUAACACUCCUCUGGUGUGUGUUUUGGGGUUUCACAGUGAGAGAUGACCCGGAGGUCUGUGUUGGAUGUGUUUAUAGGAGAAAAAGGUUUCGAUAUUCGGGGGGUUAAGUGAAGGGUCCUUUCGUAGUCGUUAAACCAGGAAGAUGAGGGCUAUACCAAUCAAAAUUGAAUGGUGACAACAGUAUCUCUUUAGGUAGAACAUGUGUUAAGUCGUAUUCGUAAGAAGUGCUCAUUAGAGUGAUAGUGUAUCUUGUGUUUCUCUUCAGUGCGUUCUGUUUUGUUCGAUGUUUUUAUUACUGUUGGUGAUUCAUACCACAGUGUCUAGCACAGGUAGUGGGUGUGUUUUGAUAGCUAGUAAUGAUACUUGAUGUCAUGAUCCCUGACAGGUCACUCUAUGAUCGAGCGGUAUAUGUAUGUCGUAUGUAGUUUGAUAUUGGUGUAAUCGUCGAGUUGGUGGCUUCACCCUAAUCCUACUACUAAACAUGGAACAGGAGUUAGGAUGGAAUUAUUUGUUUUAAUUCUUUAGUAUUUUGAUUAUAAUUAACCCCGAUGUAUGCACAAAGUCAUCACAGCUUACAGGUAAUGAUCCUAGGGUCAUAUAUGAGUGUCUUUGGUUUGAUUUGAACGAUAGAGCAUUUUAAUUACUUUUUAGAAGGAUGGUGAUUUUAGCAAGCAUACCAAAUUCAUUACAAACAUAUGGUACUUAAAUGUUUUUGUUGUUGGGAACAUUACAAAAGUCCUAAUAGGUUUCCUUGCUUCUCCUGCUGGUGUGUUCAUCACACUCUUCCUGCUCCUCCGUCAUUCUUCUCGGUUGGACACUCUCUCUUGAAGUGUCCCGUUUCACCGCAUAAGUAGCAUAAUGGGCCUACCAUGGUGCUGGUGAUUGAAGGGAGAUGUUGGGUUGGGGCCUUGUAGAAACAGACGGUAUUCCCUUUCCUGUUCCAGUUGUUACAAUGAAAAAUCCGGCAAGCUCUUAUGUGAUGGUAGUUACACUUGUUACACUUUGGAAGUGCUCCCAUAUAUUUCAUGUCUGAUGCUUGAGCGAUAGAUGUUGUGGCUGAUGUCGAGGCAUGUGUUGUGAUUGAUGUCGUAAUUGUGGGGGUGGCCAUGGGUUGUUGUCUUUUAGUGGAUCUUUGAGAUUGGUUGCGCUACUUUUUGUUCCAAAACUUUCGCUUCUUGUUCGUAGUUUUGUGGCCUGAGGCAUUUUCGUUGGUAGACGCCCGCUGGUGUUCUUCGUUGUUAUUGUGGUUAGUAUUUCCGACACCAUCUAUGUGUCUGCUGGCGUGGUUAGCAUUGAGUUGCGCCAUGACGGCUGCCACGGCUGUCGUGACUGCAGCUUGAAAAGUAACAGAGUCUAUCUGCAAGGUUAGCGCCUUGCUAGUUGGUUGGUUGCCUCUUGAUGAAGACAUAGCUCUGUUGCACGAUGAAAACGACUUCGUGAGUGGGGAUAAUUAUCUCAAGUGCAUUCUUACGAUUUGUAUUCACAUAUAUAAAAUUUUGCACAUUGUUGUACUAUUCUUAGUGUUUCUGCUAACGUUCCUGAGAUAGAGUUAUGGUAGUGGGUAGGAGUAGGCUUCAUACGGGCGUUUUAAGCUUUACUCAUCUUGGGGUCAUGUUUGUUCAAACACACUUGGCUGAGGAGUUUUGAUGGGAUCCGGUGCAUUAGUGCUGGAAAGAUCGCACCUUAUAGGUCUACGAAGAAGGCACCUCUCAACCAAAAUGUUCAAAGGUGAGACGCUAAGGAGUUUUUAGAAUGGCUAUGUCACGAGUUUUCGCACUAAGUUUAUCUAUGUUCAAUUUGUAACGUAAUUUGGUUGUUAAGGGUGUUCUGUAAGCAGUUCGUAACGAGAGUCUUUAUAUGGUAAACUCAUGUGUUUUAGUAGUUCUGUAUCCCAGUGAAACCUUGUAAUUUGACCCAAGCUAGGUCCUUAUUAUGACCAGUUGAUGUAUGCUUAGUUAUACCAUUAAGACUAAAUAGACCUUCGGGUUUUUUAGGUAUGUCCUAAGCCCAUCUUGUUAAUAUGAUUCUAGUAAUUGGGUUUCAGCGAACAUUUUUGACCUCGAUGUAGGUUUACUCCAGACUAUUGUAGGGAAAAGUUUUUAUAGCAACUAGAUCCCUUGAUUAGUAUAACCGCUUAAAUUGUAGUGACGUGCCUACACCUAGAAUGGAGUAGCACCAAUGCAUACUUAAAAACUUAAUUCACCAAGUCUUGUGAGCGGUAUGAACUCUACUCAUGACAGUUCGUCCCUUGUGAUGCCUGAGGCAAAGUCGAUGCAUCUUGCUGCUUUGCCAAUCGACACUUGCCUGCGAUCAUCCUCUCUUUGAAUGAUGUGUGUCUACCCUGUCAUUCUCUUUCCUCUUCACGAGCGGCGAAAAGGUCCUAAAAAGGGUGUUGGCCUUUGAAAUAGUAGUCUCUUUCCGAGUCUCGGGUACGUGAGACGGUAGGGUCUGUAGUAGCGCAAUUUUCUGAACUCGGGUUGUAGUCUUCUUGUUUUAAUCCCCGAUGUUCGCGAUAUUCCUGGUCUUCACCGGGAGGGCUCUGUCAGUCGAUCCCCCGUGGUUGAGGUCAUAGCACCCUCGUUGGUCCCCACAUGGUGGUUGCUGUCAUUGCUGUCGACAUUCAAUCCUCGAUCACGGUUGCCCAAUGGGGCACAGGUUAGAUGUAGUCGAAAUGGUUCAUGGGAACCCUUGCUAUGCAUGGAGGAUUGAUUACCUCCGGUUCCGCUUCUGAUUCUUCUGAUAACCAUCCACCAUUUCUAUGGUUGGGAAAGCAGGGUUUGCAUGGUAAGUAGGAUCUUGCAAUGUUGUACGUGCGAGAAUAGGAGUGGAAGAGAUAACUACUAGGCGUCUAACUCUAUAAUUAAUUACUUAUAGGGGUCUUUAGUUUUCACAUAAGUUGGUUAUAGUAUUACAAAAUACUCCUAUAGUAUUUUAAUGUUUGAUUUGUGCUUCUCAAUGUUUGUUUGUAGAUAGAAUCGGUAAGUUUUUAGACUUGUUGCAACGCCCAAACCAAGGAUGGCGGAAACAUCCGGGGGUGGAAGGCUUCAUAUAUAGUAUCACAACAACGAGUACAAUAGUUCUCAAAGUAAAUUCAACCAUCAUAAAUAUAAUUUAAAAACUUACACCAAAGUAUAUGUUUACAUGUUUCAAACCAAUUACAUUAUGAUGACAAAAUGAACUGUUUGACGAUUCAACGUCCCAUCCUCAAAAUGCUGUUGGUUUUCCUAUUUCACUAAUUUCCUGAGAAUACAAGUUGUUUGAAAAAGUGUCAACACAAAGGUUGGUGAGUUCAAAGAGAUUUCGUUAGAGAAGUAAACCUUUUUCCUUGUAAAAGCGAUAGAGUAUGUAUCCAGAAAAUCCAAUAUUUUCUUUAUAAAAGUUAUGUGGUCCUAAAUCCCAGGACCGAGAAAUAACAAGUAUUUGUCAUACUUAAAGAUAUAAAAGUGGAUUUAAAUCGGCAUAAAACCCUUUUUGAUUCGCAGGAAAGUCCCGUAAUGAAUGACAUGUAGUCUUAAAUACCAAUACUGAAAGUGUAUAGUAAUAUCAGUACUUAUUGAUAUAAAAAUUGAUUUUAAAUCGACAUAAAACCCCUUUUGAUUUAUAAAAAGUCCCGUAAACUUUAUGUGUUGUUACCUCCCUAUGUGAGUCGCUAUAACCAUACUAUGACUAGAGGUAACCUGCACAACGUCUUUCAGACGCCCUGAUCCUAUGACUCUUGUCACCCGCAGACCUGUCGGUCCGGCUGUAGCUAGCAGCGAGGUGUGGGAUGUCAACCCCAAUAUAGAUCUAUACACAAUUAUCACGCUCUCCCUACAAGAGAUUUUGGUUAUAACUUACAGGAAUUUGGAUCCCGUACUCGGACGUACGGGGAGAGAAANGUGGUGUGCGUGAGUGUAGAACCUUUUUAUGUGGGAAUAAGACUUUCCGAAAUGUGUUUGUUGUGUUAAUGGAAACAUAAACCUUACCUAUUAUAGUUUAUCAAACACUUUUAAAUGUAAUAGUUAAAACUUUGUUUACUAUUUUUAACUACUGUAUUUGUGAAGGUAAAAACCCUUUUUUUUACCGAUAUGUAUAUAUACCUUUUUCUAAAGUGAAGCAACAUGCAUAAUAACAACUAAUUAAUUACCACACAUUUGUAGGUAAAAAUCCAUUUGUAUUCUGAUGUAUGACUAUAUACUAAGACAAAAUGUCAUCUAUUUGUAAGAACAUAUUUUCACAUAAAGAUAUACACCUUGCUCGACAUGUUAUAAGGUGAAAUGAAAUUGAUGGCAUUUUUCUGUUGUUAGAAUUUUCAUUUACUGUUCUUAGAAACUUUAUAGAAAAAUCAUGAAAGGUCCAAAUC
rnacentral:lncRNA from 1 species